GAAAAUGCAUCCGGGUUCGGGGUUUCAGAUGCCGCUGCACUAUCCUCGUUACGCGAAAGCGGAUUACGAGAAAAUGGAGGAGUGGAAAGUGGACAUGCUUCUCAGGGAAUAUGGACUAAGUUUGGAGGGCAACCUCAGCCUUGAUGAGAAGAGAGCAUAUGCAAUGGGCACAUUCUUGUGGCCUCAUCAGUAUUGAUCCAUCUUCUAAUCAUCAUCGUGCCUUAAUCAAGCUGCUAGCUAAUAUCAUAUGCAUACAGUUAAUAUAUAAUUAAAUAUAGUACAUGUAUAUGGUGUGUGGUACUUUGUAGUAAGAUGGUUGGAAUCUAGUUUUGUUUAAUGGAGUCCCUAAUAAGGUUUCUCGAGUUCUCUAUAGUUUUCAGCGUAAUUAAUUCGGGUGGUCUCUCACACUGUCGCACAGAUGAACUAAUUAAAUAUCAUUACAAGACAAUUAAUGUUAAUCCAGCCUUGUGAUAUUUGUAUUUUUAUCAUGCAUGCCAGCUGGUUUUAGAAUCUUCGACCAUACACACAUAUGAAAACAUGUUUGAUAAGAAUGUCCAAUUAAAACAUCAAGAUACACCAUGGUAGUGGAUAUGCAUGUACCCAUAAGUGGGCAUUUGGUAGAGCCUAGAAGCUUCAUUGAAAGAAAGCGUAUCCAUUUACACUUAUAUAAUUACACCAUUUUUUUCUACUACUGUUGAUGCCUUUUUGCAUGUCACACGCUGGUGCCAUAACUUUGGUACAAUAAAUAUGCCUAUUUUUGGAAUUUCAUCAUUGCCAUACCAAAUCUAGGAGUAGUAUAAAAAGGAGAGACCCUUCUUAUUCACUCCAAAAAAAAUAUAAAAAAAUCGACCCAAAUUAAACGUAACUGUUCAAUUCUCCUAAAGUAUCAUUAUGGAUGAAAGGGAGGAGCAUGCGGAAAAGAAGGUUGAAGCUGUAGGCAAAUACCACUUCCUUAGAAACACAUUGCAGAUUGUUGUAUGGGUUUCUUUUUUAUCGAUUUUCCUUUGCCAUUCUUCAGGCAUGGCCUACUCUUUGUUUCCUCAUUCCUUCAAUGUUUAUUUCUCCACUUUCCUUUUCUCCUUCUUCACCCACACAGUUGAGAGGAAGUACAUGUUCAUCAUUUGCAACGGAAUACUAGCAUUCGUCGCCAAAAGCUCCGUGUGUAGCCGCUCAGAGUCUGAUAAUAAUGGCUCCCUGGCCUUGCAGAUAUCCACCCCACCAACCCAAACGAAACCUUCAGUCACCAAUGAUGUGGGUGCUGCUGAAUAUGACCAACAUGUACCUCUGGACGUAGCUGAAGCAGAAGAAACAGAAGAUGCUUAUGAAAAUGAAGCUGAAGAGCAAGCAGAACAUGAAACCGAGUCUUUGGUUAAAGAAGAAGAAGAAAGUGAAGGUUCAGUGAUAGUGGAAGAUGCGGAUGGUGAGGGAUACAAAGAAAGAGAAAAAGGGUGGUGGGGGAAACAAGAAGAGCGAGUAGGAGGUGUAGGAGCAAAGGAAGAGUUGCCAAUAAGCAUGAGCACGGAGGAGUUGAACAGAAAAAUUGAAGAGUUCAUAAGGAAAAUGAAAGAAGAAAUCAGGAUUGAAGCCCAACAACAAAUGGUUCCAUCUAAUUAAAUAUUUAUAAAGCAAGUCAUAUAAUAAAAAUAUAUAUUGUAAAUCCUCUUAUUACGUUGCAUAUGUAGUUUCCCAGACUUUAUGGUGUCCUUCUCCAUGCAAAUUGAUGUUCUAUUUAGAACUUGUUUCCAUUUCUCUCUCGCUCUCUAUUUUCUUUCUUUUUGCUUCUGAUGGCAUUGCACCAAUACUGCAAAUUGUGAAGUUCACAAAGCUAAAUAAUUAUUAUCUAUAUAUCUCUUUUCCCUAGUUAGACGAGAAUCAUUAAAGUUGAAGAAACAGAAGAAGGUCCAGAACUGUAUGUUAGAAAGAUAAAUACUCAAGCAUUGCGGAGCUUAGUGGAAAAUGCUAGAAUGGACUAGCCAGGAGAUGUACCUUGCUUCCUAUUUCGACACGUCAUACUAAUAAGUUUAUUUAAUACUAUUAUAAUCAAUACUGUUAAAAAUUCUGUUACUAAUCUGACAUAUUAACCCAACCUCAUGCAUUAUUUUUUAACUUUUGACUAAAGGUAAGACUUUUCUGCCCAAAACUUUUUUUUUUUGGUCGUUUCUCUUCUCUCGCUUUUGUUUCUUUUGGUGUGGUGGGUCCGGUGGUGCAGUAGGUGGAAAUAAUAGUGGGUCUAAUGAGCUAUUUCCGAUUUGGAGCCGAGCGGGUUAGCGGGAGAGUCGAUGACUCCCAACCACAUGAGAGCAAAGUAAAGCACGGAUAUGAAGAGAAGUAGGGGAGAGGACGAAAGCGACAUCUUUUCCGAACAGAGGGUAGCGUUUUUCGAGACUGUAAGCAAGGGAACGGACCUGAGAAACGAAUUGAGAGUAAGUCAGCGUUUGGCCGGUGGUUGCAUUGACGGCGAAAGGGGUGGCGCCGCUGGUAGAAAUGGAAGAGAAGAUGGAGAGACAAUAUUCCGCGACGGAAAGAGGCUGAUCAGCUAGCGGGAGAGGGACGGGUGCCUUAAGCUACUGUAAAUUUUGGUUUCGUAAUAGAAUCCGGCGUUUCAACGGCCGGGAUUUCUCUCCGCCAUGGAAAUGGAGAAUGAAGUGAAGCUGGUUGGUAAUUCAGAAAUUGUUUGAAAUUAAAUUAAAUUACGUCUCAAAUUUGGUUUUGGCUAGCCUUUGUUUAGUUAAAUUAUAUUUAAGUUGUUUUCGGUGGUCAAAAAGCGAAAAAAAAAAGUGUUUUGGGUUAAUUAUGAAAAAGUCUUUAAUUUUAGUUAAAAGUAAAAACAAAAUACCACAUCAACUAUCUAUCUCAUAACUAAUUUGGAUAAUUAUUUUAAUUAAAAUAAUUACAUUGAAAAAAAAUGAUUGAAAUAGAACAAAAUGAUGAUUUACUUAAAUAAUUUAAUAAUAAAUAUUGAAUAAACAGGUGACAGAAGUAAUUAAAUAAUAUUUUUUAUAAUAAUUAAUUACUUUAAUUCCAUGAAUUUUUGCAAUAUAAACAAAUUUGUCAUAUUCUUAAACCUGUAAGUCUUUUAUAUAGAGAGACAGAUAAAGAGCAGUUAUUAUUUUUACAAUUGCAAGACAACAUAUUUGAAUUACUACAAGAUUAUAUAACACAAAUCACAUAUAAAUUAGAUUAAAAAAUUUAGUAAGAUUUAAGUAAAAAUAAAUUUAAAGAAACGUUAUAUAUGAUUUAUACAAAAUAAUAUUUAAAACAUUUCAACAUUAUCGAUAAUAAAAGUAUCAUAGAGACUUUGUAUUAGGAAUUAUAUUAUAUUUUGUCUAUUUUAUUAAAAAUGAAUAAAUUAGUCUCUGUACAUUAAAUCAUAGAAUAAAUUGAUCAUUUUUGUUAAAAAUUUCAUCCAUUUGUAUUGUCAAAAACUGACAUGGCUGACGGGAUAAUCAGAUUAUGAUACUUGAUGUGCCACAUGUAUCUCAUGUUGAUAUAUAAGGAACAAAUUUUUAAUAACAUAAAUAGAUAAAAUUUUUAACCAAACCAAUUUACUUUUUAAUGACUGAUUUACUUAUUUUUAAAUAAUCUUUUUUACCCUCACAAGUAUUUUAUUUUAUUUUUAUUUUUAUCUACCUUCUAAAAACGAAACCGAUAUGGGGCACAUUCUGACGGCCAAAAUACCAAAAAAAAGCUAAUUUUUUUUAAAAUUUACCGAAAUAGGACCAGUAUUUUAUUAUUUACCGGAAUGAGCUAUUUUCCCCUAAAUCGCGUCCACGUCAGCGUGAUGUCAGGGGAUAUGUCAGCAAAUCGCGUCCACGUCAGAGCGAUUUGCUGACAUGGGAACAAAGCGCGGCCUUGAAAGCGCGAUUUGUGUCCACGUCAGCAAAGCGCGCUGACAUGGACGCGAUUUCGCGGUAUUUCCCACGUUAGGUUUUUUAGGGUUUUUCAUAUUUUUAGGGCUUCGGAGAGAAAUUAAUUAAUUAAUUAAAAUUAAAUUACGUGGACGCGAAGAAUUUGUGAAAUUGCGCCCUCCUGGACGCGCUUUUGCUACAGUUGGUCCUGGAAGAAAUAAUUUCGAGUUGACAUUUCUGAGCAAAUAGUAUAAAAUCGCUUCUACCAGGAUGCUUUACGAGAAGAAUUUGUUAAAUCACGUCCACACGGGCGCACUUUUGCUACAGUAGGUCCUGAAAAAAUUAUUUCGAGUUGACGUUUUUGAGCAAAUAGUAUAAAAACGCUUCAAGCAGGAUGCUAUUUGAGAAGAAUUUCUGAAAUCACGCCCUCGUGGAUGCGCUUUUGCUACAGUUGGUCCUGGAAGAAAUAAUUUCGAGUUGACGUUUCUGAGCAAAUAGUAUAAAAUCGCUUCUACCAGGAUGCUUUAUGAGAAGAAUUUGUGAAAUUGCGCUCACGUGGACGCGCUUUUGCUACAGUAGCAUGUUUGGGCUGAGGCUAUAAAUGAGGAAAAAAAUGUUCUCAGAAUGCAUAAGUCACAGAAGAAACAAUUUAGAGAGGCUAAGAAGGUUAGAGUUUCAAAUAUGAGUGAACGUAUUAGUGCUGUUAUUUACUACGAUGGUGAGCUUUGCCACACCGAGAAUGGUGUUGUUUUUUUGUGGGAGAAUACGGUGCGACUGGUUUUUAACCAGAACAUAGAUUUUACAAAACUUCGUAAGAGAAUUAGGCGUAAAAUUUUUGGAACGACGCCAAUGAAAGUUCUUUCUAUCACUAUCGAUUUUGUUCUUCUGUUGAUCCGGUGACAUAUGACUCGUUCGACAUAAAAGGUGCUCGUAGCUUGGAGGCAAUGGUGCAGACUCAUCUUCCUAGUGGAGCACCUUAUAUUAAGUUAUAUGUACAAUUUACAUUGCCAAAUGAUGUAUUUGCGACCGGUGUUCGAGAUGUAUACACGACCCCUGGCCGACACUCGGUUAGCAGGUUACAAAAUACGUAACAACCCAUGUUUGGUAGCGGUGUCGAAUGCACAUCCCCUGCAAGACACUCUGUCGGUGGAUGGGACAUGUACGUCGGUGGCUCAAUGUUUGAUGCUGAAAAUACGUACUGGGGAACGGCAUCAAGUUCUAGUGGGUGGCAAUCUACAUCCAAUUGGGGACGUUAUCAAAUCCCUAGAAGAAGGGAUGAUGUACUCCCUACGAUGUCAACCGGUAAGGGGACCUCGUACGCUGCAGAUGAUUAUGGGUUAGAAGAUGACUCCGAUGUGGAUCCACCUCGAGAGCCCAGGCCAGAUGGUGCAGAAGUUGACUUAUUUUCUAAACCGGAGCCUAUUCCAACAGAACUUGAAGAUGCUGAAAGGAGUUCAGAUGAAGAAGAAAAUCCACGAUUUAGAGCAUACUCACCUCCAGCCCACAUGCAUAAUAUCGAUCUGUCUGCAAAUGAUGCGUUAGAGUUUUCAGAUCUACCACAUUGGUUGCGUGAUCGUACAAGUUCGGGGGUAGAUUUCGGUGAAUUUGAAGUUGAUAAUCAGUUUACCAAUAAGGAUAGUUUUAUUGGUGCUUUGAAACAACAUAGCAUCAAAAACGACGUUAACUACCACGUCAUUAAAUCCAAAUAUGAUAAGUUUGAGGCGAAGCGUGCGGUCCAAGACGUCACAUGUUCAUGGAAUAUCUACGCCUCGUUAAGGAAAAUGACAGGGUUGCGGGAGAUUAAAAAGUACAAAUAUCGACAUACAUGUGCUGCAGGUACAGUAUUAAUGGUUUCUGAAUAAUACUUUUAUUAUGCAAUGUUGCAUUAUUUAAUGUACUCGGUUUAUAGGUGUUUCACAAGAUCAUCCCAAGAUGGAUUCAACUAUGUUAGCUAGCUUAAUACUGCCCACGGUUAAAGUAGAUCCUAGGACUUCAGUGCCGGUGUUAAUUGCCAAUAUUAGUAGCCACGAUUAAACCAAAGGGUCGACCUUGCUCAACUAGAAUACGUAACAAUAUGGAUAUCCGAGAAACAGCCAGUCAACAAAAGUUGUACGGAUGGUGUAGGAAUCCAGGCCAUACAAGCCGACCAUGCCCUAAUCGGAAUAGUUGAAUAUAAUUGUAAAUAAAUUAUAUUUUUUCAAUUAUUUAUUGAUAAUUGUAUUAAUUGUUAGUAACAGUCAAAACAUUUUUUCAAAUCUAACAUUAUGUGAAUGUAAAAAUAUUAACUGAUAAUUGUAUUAAUGGUUAGUAGAAUUCUCAAAUAAUAUCAAAAUAUUCAAAAUAUUUGUACAAAUUAAUUAAGCUCAUGUUAUUACAUCAAAUAAUAUCAAAAUAACUCAAAAAAUUUCUAUUUUAUUACAUAAAAUAAUAUCAAAAUAUUCAAAAUAUUUGUACAAAUAAAUUUAAAUACGGCAAUCAAUGUCUAUACCCGGAGGAUUCAGUGCCACAUAGCGGCCGUCGACGGUUACGCGCUGGAUUCCUCCUUUGUCUAGCUUCCGGCAGCGGUUGUUGUUCCUUCGGUGGGGAUUCUGGUUCUUCCGGUACGACAUCUGGUUGUCGGACUUGGGACGAUAAUCCACCUUCAAAGAAUAGUGUAUGUGGAGGUGUUUGCAUCAUGAAUGGCAACGGUGUUUGAAACCCAUAUGUUGGUGGGGAUUGGUAAAAAUGAGAGCUCCCCGACAGCCCUUCUUGCGAUCCCUCAUGCACCGCUAGCCUAUACAUCGGCGGUCCACUCGGCAUAACAGAAAAUGGAGCUGAACCGGGCAUUUGACUCCAACCUACCAUAGGACUCGGAAAAGGAUACAUAUAAGAGUUAGGAUACAUAUAAGGGUUAGGAAACGCACCUGGCAUCAUCUAAAAAGGCGGCUGCGUGGGUAUCAUCGGUUGAACUGCUGCGUCGGGUGACUAUGUCGGUGCUCUCGUUGGGCCUGGUGAUUGCAUGACCGCUGAUGAUGAGCCAGGUGAAUGUCUGGGCCUCGUUGAGGGGCUGUCUUUGUCAUCUUGUCGUCUUGGAUUUAGAGGCCCGCGCCUUUCCCUUUGGACUCAUAUUUGCCGCUGCCUCUCCUCUGGCGUCAGUAAAUACGGCUUGCCAUGGAUCUUAAACUAUGGCAUGUAUAUCGGAACACACGCUAACUCCGGAACGAUGAUUGGUUCCCAAGUAGGUAUAUAUUCAUACCGAUCUUCCCAAGUGGGUAUCAUCGGUUGAACUGCUGCGUCGGGUGACUAUGUCGGUGCUCUCGUUGGGCCUGGUGAUUGCAUGACCGCUGAUGAUGAGCCAGGUGAAUGUCUGGGCCUCGUUGAGGGGCUGUCUUUGUCAUCUUGUCGUCUUGGAUUUAGAGGCCCGCGCUUUUCCCUUUGGACUCAUAUUUGCCGCUGCCUCUCCUCUGGCGUCAGUAAAUACGGCUUGCCAUGGAUCUUAAACUAUGGCAUGUAUAUCGGAACACACGCUAACUCCGGAACGAUGAUUGGUUCCCAAGUAGGUAUAUAUUCAUACCGAUCUUCCCACAUUUCCAUGUACUCGGACCAGUAUCUCGGCCAAUCCAUAUUCAAUAUCCAAAAGUCGACUUUGUGUUGAUCGUCAAACACCUCAGGAUCCACGGGAAUCGAUUGUCUACAUCCAAACUGUCGUAGCGCUCUGUCUGACUGGUGCGGCUCCACGAUUGCGUAGUUGAUCUACACGAUUUUCACGUGCCAAGCUAGUGGAUUUUGUAAGAACUCAUCCGGAAUUACUGCCUGAAUUGCCGGAUCCUCAUAUGGUGUCCAUUGAAACUAUAUGAACAUUAUAGAAAUAUUAGUUAUAUACAUAAUACUAAAUACUAAUUACUAAUUACCAAUCGACUAGCAAAUGAUGGAAAUAUCAAUUUUAUUUAAUACUUACAUGUGCUUCGGACUGUUGGUCUAAUAGAAGCCAUAUAUCUUCAAGUUUCGUAGGUAAUCGAGCAUGACUUGCCGGAUGGUUCCACCUAAUUAAAUAAACUUUUAGCAUACUUUUAUUUCUAAAUAUCUACAUAAUAAUUGUAAACUCUAAUAUAAAAUUUACCUCGUUAUGAGUGGGAAUGUAUAUGGGUGGUCCACUCGAUGACGUAGAAAUGGAAAGCAAAACCGUGCCCAUGACUGCAGUAGUGAUAGGCAGCCUCAUAUUUUUUCUCUCCUCGGUCUCGUCGCCCCGCACAUCUCCCGAUAUAAUGUGGCCAAGAUGGCAGACCCCCAACUCAAUUCACCGGCUGCUCUAAAAUCAACGAGUUUCAGCAGCCAUCUUAGAUGUACGCGACUCCGUGACAAGUCCGGCAUCAGAUAACCUCCAAUUAACUGAAGAAUGUAUGCCCGAGCAUAUCGGAUUCUUUCUAUUUCAAUUGAAUCUUCAUCUGGAUCCGGAAUAUGUCUCGCAACCAGCCCAUCUCGAUCUUACCUUCGUCCAUUUUCUCCGGAAUAGCGCCUAGAAGCUCGUAGCACACCGCUCGCCAAUCGCUAGAUUGGGCAAACCCCGUGACUGGGUACCCUUCCACAGACAAUCCCUAUUACAGGCUGACGUCUUCCAAAGUGACAGUGCACUCUCCACAUGGAAGAUGGAAUGUGUGCGUCUCGGGUCUCCACCUCUCGAUCAACGCACUGAUUAGUUUCGGGUCCACCUUGCAUCCCCGGCCUACCGUCGCCACUUGCCAAAAACCCGCUUCCCGCAGGUAGUUCUCUACCAACGGUGAUAGAGGAGCAUGCAUAUUCCGGAUAUUGCAUUCCAAUACCCGAUCUACAGACUUUUAUAACAAAUAAUAAAUUAAUAAUUAUCUAAAAAUGCAUAAAUAAAAAAUUCUUAAAUAAUAUUUAAAAAUUAUAUUUAACGCUUACCAUUUUCAUUUGUUCCACCGAUAUGUGAUGAUUAUCAAGACGAGUCAAUUCUCCGGCCAUUGCUGAAAUCGUACAAAAUUUUACGGUAUAAAAAAUUUAAAAAAAUAAUUUUUUUAAAAUUAUUUAAAAAUAGGGAUUUAAGAUAAAUUUAAGAAGAACUUGAGAGCAAAUUGAAAUUAAAUAUGGAUAUGAGUGAAAUUUUGAAGGAAUAUAAGAGCAAAUUGAGAGGAAAUUUGAGAGAGGAUUAGUUUGUGAAAAAAACAAAGGGGUAGAGGAUAUUUAUAGUUUUUUUUACCGUUGGGAGGGGGCAACACUAAAAAAUUUGACCGUUGCACUGUUCACGCACGGGUCAGAUUGCGUCCACGUCAGCGCGUUUUGCUGACGUGGACACAAAUCGCGCUCCAGAAGACGCGAUUUGUUGCCAUGUCAGCAAAGCGUGCUGACGUGGCCGCGAUUUCCUGGAACGUCCCAUGACAUUGCGCUGACAUGGACGCGAUUUCGGGGAAAAGGGCCCAUUUCGAUAAAUAAUAAAAUAUUGGGCCCAUUUCGGUAAAUUUUAAAAAAAAAAGCUUUUUUUGGUAAAUUGCCCCAUUCUGACCAAUGAUUGAGGCCAUAAUAUCAUUUAAUAGAACUGACUGUGGUUCGCCACUUAAGGAACUAGUUUAAUUAGAGGUUAAUCUAUAUUGGAUAAAUUAGAUAUAAUGGAAAAGCUUGAGGGUUUUUUUACGUAUAUAUUAUAAAAAAAUACUUAAAUGAUAUGUUAAAUAGAUUAUGUUCUAAAAUGGUACAUCCAAGCAAGUGGAAGGUGGUGCAUAGGCGACAUUACUCUAAAAUACUUACACAUUUGCCUGAAAAAAGAAUAUUUUAAUAGUGGUGCCUAAUUGAUAGGUGGCACCACUUUGUCCAGAAUGGUAUAGAGAAUCAAUAUUUUAUACGAAAGAGGUAUGGUGUCUCUCUGAUAGGCGGCACUGGUGACCCCUAUUUGAUAGGCGGCACCAGUACCAUUUCCCCCCUCCCCCAUCCGACUCAAUAUUACUAUCUGUCAAAAAAAAAAGCAGAAUAUAAGGAAGAAGAGAGGGGGGAGAAAGAAAGAAAGAAAAGAGAAGAAAGAAAAAGUAUUUUUAUUUUUAUUAAUUAGUUGUUUAAGGUUUAGUGUGAUUUGUUAGGUUAUGAAUGUUAUGUUUUAAAUUUUUUUAAUAUAUUUGAAAGUUUUUAUGUUAGUAACUAUUAUAAAGUAAUUGUUAGUUAGUGAUAACAAAAAAUAUAUAUAAAUACUAAAAAUAUUUCUGUCAUAGAUAUUGUUAGAAAUGACAACAAAUUUGAUAUUGUCUGAGGAGAUAAUAACUUCAGCACAAAGGAAGAAAGUUGAUAAGAUGAUGAGAGAAUUGUAAUAUCACAGAAUAAAACCAAAAGAAGACAUCGUUCAACACCUUAUUACCGUAAAUCAAAAGAUGCAAGAAGUGUUAUGGAAGGGUCAUGAACUGAUUAGAAAGAAUAAAGUGCAAUACUUAACCCUUAGAGGGACAUUAAUAGAACGGGAACAUCAAAUCAUUUUAGACCAACUUUGGAAGACAUUGGUACCAUGAACCUAUUGGAAUCUAGUUAUAUACUUCAUGAAGUUUAUAAUCUCUUAUGGAGCAAGGAAAAUAGCGAGACAAAGUGUAGGUUCAUGAAAGUUGACUGGGAAGCAAAAUGUGUUUGACAUACCAUGGAUGGAUAAAUUAGUUGUUAAGAAAUUACCAAGAGAAUUUCUAAAUUCAAUACCCGUUAUAAAGAUUGAAGAGGAAGAAGAUCCUGAGGAAUUUCCAAAUUGGAUUGUAGAAGAUGAAUUUGAAGAGAAUUCAGAAUUUAAUAUAGAGAAUUUCCUAGAGGAAGAUACAAGAUCGGAGAUGGAAGAAAACAUAGAACUGAAUUUAAGUGAUUAAAUGUAAAGAUAAAUGUUGUUCAUGUACAAAAUCAGAACUGAAAAAGUCUGAGCUUAUAAAUGAAAAAAAUUACAUACUGAUAUGAUUUUGGUCUCUUUUUAUUCAUUAAAUUUUUUAUGUAAGUAUUUUUAUGAUGUUCGAAAUUGUUUUGAGAAUUUUUGUUUAUUUUUUAACAAAUUGAGUAUUGAAAAUGGAUAAUCAAUUUUUCGUAUGCGUUUAUUUCGAUGGAAUAAUAUUGACAACAACCGUUGGAUGUAUAUUUAAAUGUCGCCAACAAAUAGCAAUGAGAUUUAAUAGAAAUGUCUCGUUCAAUUAUAUGAAGGAAAUGAUUAGCGCAAAAAUUGUUAGACAUUGUGGGAGAAGGACUUCGAAACUUUUCUACAAGUUUCCAGUUUGGACAGAUCUCAUCAAAUUCACCGAAAUGGAACUUGUAGAUGAUGAAGACAUGGAGACAAUGAUCGCUAUUUAUUGUGGGAAUCAGAGUGACCAAAAUGCACUGAUUUAGUUAUUUGCUGAGUUAGCUAGUGUAGAGCCAACUAAAGAUCUCACUGCAUUAGGUAAAGAACAUGGAGCUCAAGAACCGUGUAUGGUGGCUCCAAUAUCAUUAGUUAAUAGUGAAUCAACUAUACGCAGGAUCGAUAUCGAUCUUAAUGUUGCACCCGAUAUUGAUGUGAUUGGUGAUGAUGGAUACGAUAGUAGUGAUCCUUAUGACCAUGAGGUCGAUAGUGAUAGUGAUUCCGAUGUGGACGAGGUCCCCGAUAAUACUAAAGACGAAGACGUGAAUGACGAUGGAAACAUUAACGCGUCUUCAAUCAGGAACCAGAUUUGACGUAUUGUGAUACACAAUAAUCCUGGGCCACACAUGUCGCUCAUAGACUCCGACACGGCACACGUAGCCGAGUUCCUAGAGUACCCUAAAAUACUACCUGCUUAUCGGCUGGCCGUAGAUUUUGAUCCUGAAGAGUUGUUCGUAAGCCAGAGAUUUGAAAGUAAAGAAGAGUGCGUAUUUGCUAUUAAGCGAUUUAAUAUAAAUAUAUCAGUGGACUACAAAGUCUUAGUGUCUAAAUCGACAUUAUAUAUUGGGGAGUGUUGGAAGUCGACGAAAGGCUGCAAUUAGCAGGUACGAACUGUAUUUAUUCAAAAGUCGCUGAUGUGAGAGAUACUAAAAUUUGUUGGGCCUCACACAUGCACAUUAACACGUAUGACAGAAGAUCAUCGAAAACUUGAUUUCAAAACCAUCUGUACAUGUAUCAUGCCAAUCGUGAAGGACAUGCCGACCGUUAAAGUUUUGGUACUGAUUGCCAAAAUACAGGCACGAUUCUAGUAUUGAGUAUUAUACCGAAAGGUGUGGAUAGCUAAAUAGAUGACAAUGAAGCAAUUGUACGGGGAUUUCGAUGUGUCGUACAAUGAGUUAUAGGGAUGGAUAGUUGCUAUGUGAGAGUACGUACCGAGGACUAUCAUGGAGUUACACGACCUUAUUACGGCCCGGAUGACCAACUAUAACCGGAAAAAAAAAUUUCCAUCGGAUGUUUUAGAUGUUUGAUCUAUGUGUGCAUGCAUUUCCCCACUGCAAGCCGUUUUUGCAAGAGAUGGGACCUAGCUAUACGGAAAAUAUACAGAUUCUACUUCUUACGGUUGCUCAAAAUGGAAACAAAAACGUGCUCCUAAUAGAAUUUUCCACUGUAGAUAAAUAGAACAUGGAAUCGUGAGAAUUCUUCCUUACCAACCUGCGGAGGUAUGUUAUUAGCAACGAUAAUAUUUGCAUCAUCUCCAAUAGAGGGAGAUGAUUAAUUGCCGCCAUUAGGCGUUCCGGUGUGCCAUAGAGAUCCGUUUACUGCAUCCGGCACAUCGCGGCUAACUUCCAUCGAGAUUAUAAGAAAGCAGGCUGGCAAAGAAAAGUUGUGAGAAUAAGUAAAGGAUAACCUUAUCUUUUCAAUAUAAGUUUUAAUGUUUUAGGGCAAUAGUGUAACUUAUCUUUUCUUAAUACAUAUACAGCGCACGAGCUAGAGCCACACAUUUUCCGCCAAAGAAUGACUCGACUUGAAGUGACAUGAAGGGUCAAACGAACACAUCUUUCCGACAGUGGUUGGUUACCAUGGAGCCGUGGUAAUGGGCUCAAAGUUUUGAUGAGGGCUUUCGCUAUGAUCAUAUGACCACAAAAUUAGUGAAAAUGAUCAAUUCUGUGCUGUUGAAAACAUGACAUCUUCCGGUUUCAUCUGUCUUCUCGGCUACAUUCUAUAGGUUGGCUACCUUGAUGCCAAGAAUGGGUCAGCAACAAAUAAAUCAGAUGGAGGCAGGACAUGUGUUUGUCGAAGAUGUCAGAGAUGCAAUGGUUACAAACCGUCGGAUGGCGAGGUUGAUAAAUGUAGAAGUAUAUUCAUGACGUCUUGAAACGUUUCGAGUUACAUAGACCAUCGGUCGUCGACCCAGUAUACCACCUAAGUCCUAUGGAGUUGAUCUCUGAAACAAACAGUGCGAUUGUAGGAGGUUCCAAACACUUCAUUAUCGAUGUGGGCAUGUCGUGACAGCGUGUGCUAAAGUUUCGCUCAAUUUUAAACAAUUUGUUGAUGAUGUGUAUACCCUCGAGCGCACGUUGCAUGUCUCGGAGAAUGAGUUCCCUGUCCUGCCUGACCUGUCUACAUGAGAGGUGCCUCCGACGACUUUCGAGCUUGUCCCAGUAAUAGGGUUGUGUAGAAAUCUAAAAGGUUGUCUGCAAUUAUCCAAAAUCCAUAAUAAAAUGGAUAUUAGGCCGAAAUCCUACUGUAAGCGUUAUGGAUUAUGCAGAUUAACUGGUCAUAAUCGGAGUAAAUGCCCACAACGAAACUACCAUAUUGGACAAUCAUCAUGAUCGGGUAGGAAUUGAGCUUAUGUAAUCCAAUGUACCUAAUUUAUAUUACAAAGUUUGUUCCAAGUUUUAAUGUUGUAAUGUAUUUAAUUUAUAUUACAAAACUAAUAUUACAAAGUUUGUUUCAAGUUUUAAUGUUGUAAUGUAUUUAAUUUAUAUUACAAAAUUUAUAUUACAAAGUUUGUUCCAAGUUUUAAUGUUGUAAUGUAUUUAAUUUAUAUUACAAAGUUUGUUCCAAGUUUUAAUGUUGUAAUGUUGUAAUGUUGUAAUGUUGUAAUAUUGCAAUUAUUCUAAUUUAUGACCAUAAAGUUUGUUCCAAGUUUUAAUGUUGCAAUUAAUCUAAUUAAAUAAAUACAAAGAUUGUCUUUUUCUUGAUUUAUAUUUUUUUAAAAACUUUGUAAUAUUUAAAUUGCAAGAAACCCCUAAAAUUGAUGGUUUGAUGGUGUAGUCCUAGAUGUAUAUUUCUUCGGGGGUUGACGUUCACGAUGUGAGUGAUCGCACCGAUCAUCAUCCUCUUCAGUUGCAGGUGGGGGUGUAUGAAAUAAAAAAAAAUCAUAUACCCCGAACACCAUUGAUGAAUGUCGAAACCAUCUUUUGAAAUUUUGAAAAAUGGGGAUCGACUUUUAAAAAUGAAAAAUAGGAGUCGCCACCAAUCUUUUAUUAAGGUGUGAUCGGUUCACCGUUAAAAAUAAAUUUUAAGUCUGUGAGAUUUAAGAAAAUAGGUACAGGAGUCGGUUACGUACGAGGAAGGGUUAGCACCCUCAUAACGCCCAAAAUUAGUACCGAAUUGAUUGUUUAAUGUCUUAAUGUCGAAACUUUGAAAAGAUUUUAAAAUACGAUCCUUUGAAAAGAAAGUUUGAGUAAAAUGAAUUGGACGAUGAGAUUCACUUAUUUCAAAGAAAUAGAUCGUCACACUUAUUAAGUUAGAGUGCAACAUUUUAAAUCCUCAAAAUUAAAUUUAUCUCUCGACUUUUAAAACCUAUGCAUUUUGAGAAGGAUAUCUGAUUAUUUGGGUCAAAUGAGACGAUCGAAACCAGUAAGUUAGGGUUCGAUUUCACAAAAUUCCUAAAUUUCGAACAUUUCCUUUAUUUUUAAAAUCCUCGUCUCGAGAAAAUAAUAUGUCAUAUCCAAUGCGUUAGGACACAACGUGUCGAAUUCCCGAGAAUGGGUUUUUACUGUGUUUUGGUUAAAGAAUAAUCUCGAUUAUUUGGAUUCGGCGAGGAAAAUUAGAACCCAAUACGUUAGGGCUCAAUUCUUUCGAAGCUUUCAAAUGCCGAACUUUGCCUUAUCUUGAAAACUUUCGAUUAAAACGAUUUUAAUAUUUUGAGGAAUCAUAAUUUUUAAAACAGAUGUAGUGUGAUUGAAUGGUGACGUAUAACGCAAUAAGAUAAUUUGUGAGUUACAAUACAUACAAGUGAACGAUGAAUCAAUCAAAUAAUAUGAACAAGCAAUGUAAGAACAAUAAUCUUGUAUCAUAUUGGCAAUCGAAAGAUAAUGAAUUAAAAGCUAAUUUCCAAAAAGGACCCUACAUGAAAUAAUAAUAUCUGGAUAACAUUUAAAAUAAACACUAUAUAGGAAGAAAAUCAAAAUGAGUAAUGCGUGUAAAAAAAUGUAUGUAUUAAGAAAAAUGAGGUUAAUAAUAAUAUAUAAUAAUAUAUGUAAAAGAGUUGAUGUAAACAAAAUAUAUUAAAAUAGGUAAAAUAUAAUAACAUAAUUUUUAGAAGAAAAAUAUAUGAAAAUAAGACAAAAAUGAAAUCUCUAAUUUAUAACAAGAAUAAUUUAAUAUCAAACGUGUACAUAUAUACAAAGUAUGGUAUCGUAAAAGAGUAUUAUUAUAUAAAUCUUUUAAAAUGUAGAAAUAUAUUUAAAUGAAUUAAAAAUAUAAUGUAAAGUAAAAAUCGUUAAAGGUAUACUAUAUUUAGGGGCUAAUGUAUAAAAGCAACAUGAAAAAUAUAUUAUAUAAAAAAAGAACAUAUAAUAGUAAUAUAUAAAAAUGAUUAAAAUAAUAAUACCCAGUAGGGUAAAGCUAUGCGCAUGAAAAUAAAAUAAAAUAAAUGGUACAAAUAAUAAUAGAACUAGUAAAUAAGUAAGUAAGUAAGUAAGUAAGUAAUAAUAAUAAUAAUAAUAAUAAAAGGCUAAUAAUAAAAAUAUUAGUAAACUAAUAUUAAACAAAUCAAUAGAAAACAAAUAAAAAGGAUUAAAUUAAAAUCAAAACAGAACCGGAAGGGGAAAACGAAAAAAAAUCAAAAUGGAGGGGGAAAUCGUGACGCGCGAAUAAUAUGAGGACCGAAUGGGAAAUAUUUCCUUCCCCCAAAACGUAGCGUCUUAAUAUGGAUUAAAAUGAAACAAAAAUAAAAUGAGAGAUUAAAUUUAAAAAAAGAUAAAAGGAUUGGGUUGAAGUGCACUUGACAAACGGAGGGACUGUGCGAGCAAAUAGACCAUCAAACAAAAGGCGCGGAUCCUUCCCCGGGUCGGGUCACCGUGCGGGUUGCUGGGGUUAGUCGGCCAAUACGUCACCAUUUAAGGGCCACUAGAACAGGCCCUAAACGGUGUCAUUUUACACGCUAUAAAAGGGCACCCCCGAAAACCCUAAAAUCAGUCUGUUGAAAUCAGACACCAGCCUCUACCCCUCUGCGCCGCUCUGUGGAUCGACUGCUCAGGGGACCUCUACCUCGUCUGACCCCAAUUGCGACGGAACGAACGGAGACUAGGAGCCCUCGAACCUCACUUCAACUCCGAUGACUGCGGAGAGAGAAAAGGAUUCGGCUACCAGGUAAUCUUUAUACUCUCUAAUAUCUUUCUAUCCUUUUUUAUCUUUUAUCGAACGAGAAGAAUAAUCGAACACAGAAAAGAAAGAUUAAAAGACGAAAACAAAAGAAGCAAAGUAAAAGUUUUUAAUCACCUUAAGUAUUCUAAAUCUUUUUUAUUUUCAAUUUCAAAAUCUCCGUCUGUGUCCCCUUUACAAAAUUUUGCAAUGGCUUUAUAUAGCCAAAAAGAAAAUACAAAAAAUCCUUAUUUUUGUUUUUCUUUUUUCUCUCUGCUAUUACAAUUUUUUCAUUUUUUCCUAAUUUUUGCUAGUAUUUGCUGUCGCUUUCUGCUCUUCUUGGUUGCGUUUUGUUUGCCUCUGUUUGUUGCAGGUACGGUGCGGGUGUUACCGUGUGCGUGGCAGAUGCAGAAGGUACGGAGGCACAAGUGAAGGGAGCGGUUCGAAGGCGUGGUUUGUGCUAGGGUAGAGCCUGGUUGCGGCGCUGGGGUUUCUGAGUGCUGCUUGGUGUUGGGUCGUCGGGUUAAGGUUAGCCAAUGGGCUUGAUUUUACAAUGGACUGUGGAUUUUUGUUUACUUUGGUUUAAUUUUAUUGGUUUAUGGGCCGGGCAAAAAUGGGCUCUUACAAUGAACUUGACUCGGGAGGAGUGCUGUACUGUGAUGGAUAUGACCCAGGAAGAGUGGAGUAAUGUGGUGGAUACAGGCCAGGAAGAGUGUUGUAUUGCGAUGGUACUGGAUUGAAGAUAUCAAACCCAAAAUGAUAUCCGUGUCUUGACAAGCCCGGGAAAUAUUCAUUGACCUGCAACUCUAGAUGAUAAGAACUAUCCCCGGAAUGUGUAUACAACCGCUCGGGAUCGAGCUUGGGCUCUAGGUCUGGCUCGACCUUUUCCCGUACUAGAGUACCAUUGUAUGUGCUCUAACGAUGGUUGCAAAUCAAAAGAAAUAUCCAUCUGAGGUCUUCGCGCCAUCCAAUUAUCCCACACUGCAAUAUAUUUAUGAUGCACAACCCCCCAAUUAUUUCCAUGUUUUUCUCUCUUGUUAAUCUCGUGAAUCUUCCCCAAUUGCAUUGGCGGAGCCGGGAUAUACUGGAUGCAACCAAACUGUCACAAUACUCAAUCCCCGUUAUUCCACUCGACUGUCUGGAAAGUGAUAAUUGGUGCGUUAAUGUACCACAGGUGAGAAUGAAUGUGGGCAAACGAGGGUAUAACAGCCGCAAUUUUUGGUCUCCGAUACGGCAUCCAGAUAAAUUGCACGAUUAAUAACAUGGUUAAAAUUUAACACGGUUCGAGUAAGGUAUACAAAGUAAUUACAUGUCACGAAUAUUGGAAUUACUUACCCCUUCCCUGGCAUGUUGUUCAAUCAUCAAACGAUAUAUCGAGACAAUAUAUAACCUCCCGAUACCCGAAUUAGUACUCCAUCUACGAAAACAAAUUACAUGUUAGAAUAGUAACGUUAGAAUAAUAUCAUUUGAAAAAAAAAUGUCAAUUAAUUGCUAUAACAAGUUAAAUUUUAUCACAUGUUCACCAGUGGAAAUACGUAUGCUUGGCGCCUAAUCGAUGCCAAGAAUGACAUCCGAUAAAGAGCUCAUGAAUGCAGCAAUAUGAGGUAUCCGCCUAUGUCUACGGCAUCAGGCUUUGUCGUCCAACAAAGCUCACGAUACAACAUAGCCAGAACUGCGGAACCCCAACUGUACGAGUGAACAUUCUGCAAAUCAGUUAAUAGGGGUAAAUACAUCAAAUGAACCCUGUUUUUGUUUGCAUCCGGCAUCAGUACACCCCCUAUAAUAUGCAUAAUGUAUGCUUGAGUUGCGCACAUCACCUCCUGCUCAGUGGCAUUAAUUGAUAAAUGUUCAAAAUUGACUUUCAGCCAUGAAAAUCUCAAACCGGAAAAUUUGGACUCAGCAUUGUUGGGCGACAAUCUUAAUAGAUUAUAACAAAGGGCAGCCGGCUCAGCUAUCGUACUUAUGCCCGUUAUAGCACUCCCGUCGAUUGGGAGCCCAAGUUGCAAUGCAACAUCCUCCAGAGUGCACUCCCCACAAGGCAAAUGAAAAGUGUGGGUCUCCGGGCACUAAUGCUAGACCAAUGUGGAUAUUAAAUCAUACUACAAAUCAAACAUCCGGAACAAUGUUGCUGACCUGAAUCCGGCUAACUCCAAGUAUGGCAUCAGUCAUUCAUCCAGGGGAUAUCCUAAAUCAUUCACCCAACCCUUCAAUGCGCGGUACAUGCCCUGACACUAUUAAAUUACAGAAAAUAGUUAUUAUAAUAUAAUUUAUUUUCGUAAAUGACGUAGAACUUUCUUUAAGGGAACCUGUGAUUAAAAAAUAAUAAUAUAUUGCCAUAUUAUUAACUGUGUUUGAUAUAUGGUCAUCGUUCUUAAUCAAUGAACCCAUUGCGAUACUUGCAAUUUCAAAACAAAUUUCGAUAAUUAAUUUCUAAGGUUGAUGCGUUUUAAAUAUUUAUCAAAGUACCUAAAUUUUAUAUAUUGCUUUUAAUUACAAAUAAUACCAAACAGUUUUGUCCACAUCAUAUUUUUUUGCUAUACUACAUUAACAAAAUAAAUAUAUCUUUUAAAUUCCAACUCAAACUCCAACUCAAUGGUCCCAUUCACAAAUUCCAUCUCAAUGGUUUAUUCUUUUACCUACAUAAAAAACAAAAAAAUUAUAUUAAAAUAAUAAAAAUAACAUGCCAAUAAAAAAUAUAACAAAAAUAUAAUAUAAACUAUCUCAACAUAAUAAAUACGAAUAUUUUUAUUAUUAUUUUAAAAUGAUAAUAAGUAAAAUGUAUUGGUUUAAAAUAUAAUAUAUAUAAUAAUAUGCCAACUUAAUUAUUGUCAUUUUUUUGCAUAGAAGGAUUCAAAAGAAAUUUCAUUUAUAAUAUUUAUAAAAUAAAAUAUAAAAUAAAAUUUUAAAACAUAAACUCUUAUUCCCAAUUAUAAAAUCUUAAAAAAUUAGAGCAUGUAAACUAUUAUUCUUAAUUUAUCUCAUAAAUUCCAACUCAAUGGUCUCAUUCACAAAUUCCAUAUCAAUGGUCUCAUCUUUUACCUACAUAAAAAAUAAAAAAUUUAUAUUAAAAUAAUCAAAUUAAUAUGCCAAAUAAAUUACAUAAAAAAAUAAAUCUAAUCAGCUUAAAACACACAUAACAAAUAAAUUACAUAAAAAAAUAAAACAUUCUUCAUACAUAACAUAAAUAGGCUUUUUUACUUCAAUAAACAUGAAAAAUAACUUAUGAAUGAAUGAAAAUAUAAAAUAAAUACAAACAUACCUUAAUAAUUCUUUUUAACCAAAUAAUACCUUACAAAAAUAAAAUUAAAAAUUAAAUCUGAAUUAAAUCAACAAUAACAACAAAAACGAAUUAACAUUUAUUUAUAACAAAAAAAAUUACUAAAUAAAAAAAUUAUUUUUUAUGAUUUUUUUAAACACCAAAUCUUCCCUAAACAACAAUCUCUCAUUUCCUUUUCUAUUUAUUUUUUUUCCUUCUCUUUUUUUCUUUCUUUUUCCCCUUCCCGCUCUCUCUUCCUCCUCCAUCUUCUCUUCUUCAAAUUUCUUCUCUCUUCCGGCAAAAAAUGAAACAUUGGGGACCUUAUACUGGUCCCUAAAAACACAACUCACAGGCAUGCCAUCUGACCUGUCCCAUCGCUGACAAGCCAUAGGUGUGUCGCCUCUCCAGUAGGUAUGACUAGUCGGUGCCACCUGUUAAAUGGCCUUGACCAGUGCUGCUCAGUUGUCCUGUCCCAUCUAUGACAACGGGUCGACAGUGGGUUUGGGAAGGUAGGGUUUUGUUCGUAUACGGGUCGUAUUUGACCCGCAUUUCUUUAGGUGCAGCCUAUUUAGUUGCCAUUACCAUUUUUUUAUUAUUUUUUCAGUCAAAUGUGUCAGUAUUUUAGGGUGGUGCCGCCUAUGCACCACCCUCCACUUGUUUGGAUGUACCAUUUUGGUACAUAAUUUAUUUAACAUACCAUUUAAUUAAUUUUUUUAUAAUAUAUAGGUAAAAAACCCAAAGCUUGAUAUUUAAAAAAAAAGGAAAAAUUCUUCUAUUAGUCCCUAUAUUUUAUAUAAGUGAUCUAAUCAUUGUACUUUAAUUUGAUAUUUUUAAUCUUUGUAUUUUUAGAAUUUUCAAAUUUCAGUCCUCAAAAAACAAUAAUUGUUAAAUUAAUUAAGUUAAGCUCUAGUAUAAUUUCCAAGUUGCACCAAACAUAUUAUCAUAUAUGUAAUGCAUUGUAAGUUUAUCAUUUCCACAUAUUACACACUAAAAAUAUAGUUAAUGGAUUAACGAUUGUCAUUUGUGUCAAAAUUGAAAUUUUAAAAUUUGAAAUAUAUAGGGACUUCAAAUGUUUCAAUUGAAAAAUAUGGACCAAAUAUAUAACUCACUACACCAAAACAAGCUUUUAGCGGCACUUUUAGCGGUGUUUGGAGCAAAAACGCUGCUAAAGAGUGAGCAUUAGCGGUGUUUAAGUAAAAGCGCCGCUAAAGAGUGAGCAUUAGUGGCGUUUAAGGAAAAGCGCCGCUAAAGAGUGAGCAUUAGCAGCGUUUAUAAAAAACGCCGCAAAUAAUACACCCAGACGGUGCCGUUCUGUGGCCUUUGGGGGGAAAUAGUGGCGUUUAUUGUAAAGCGCCGCUAAAGAGUGAACAUUAGCAGCGUUUAUAAAAAACACCGGAAAUAAUACACCCAAACGGUGCCGUUUUGUGGCCUUUGGGGGGGAGGACUUAGUGGCGUUUAUUGUAAAGCGCCGUUAAAGACUGAACAUUAGCAGCGUUUAUAAAAAUGCCACAAAUAAUACACCCAAACGGUGUCGUUUUGUGGCCUUUGGGGGGGGACUUAGUGGCGUUUAUUGUAAAGCGCCGCUAAAGAGUGAACAUUAGCAGCGUUUAUAAAAAACGCCGCAAAUAAUACACCCAGACGGUGCCAUUUUGUGGCCUUUGGGGGGGAAUUGGUGGCGUUUAUUGUAAAGCGCCGCUAAAGAGUGAACAUUAGCAGCGUUUAUGAAAAACGCCGCAAAUAAUACACCCAGACGGUGCUGUUUUGUGGCCUUUGGAGGGGACUUAGUGGCGUUUAUUGUAAAGCGCCGCUAAAAGAGUGAACAUUAGCAGCGUUUAUAAAAAACGCCACAAAUAAUACACCCAGACGGUGCCGUUUUGUGUCCUUUGGGGGGGCAUUAGUGGCGUUUUUUGUAAAGCGCCGCUAAUCUAGGUGUUUUAGCGGCGUUUUUGUUUAUGCGCCGCAAAAAAAUUAUCUUAAUUGAACUAUUAUUUAUAUUAUUUGAAUCAAAUUAAACAUAUUUCUAAUAGAAUAUUUAAAAUCUUCAAUAAAAAAUAACAGGUAUAAAUAAUUUGAAAUAAAACACAUGGAAAAAUUAAAAUAGUAUUAUUUAAAAUAAUUUUAAAGUUUUUGUUGGGUACAUUACUGAUUGUUUUUUAAUUUAUAUAUUAAAAAUUUGAAAUUAUUAUCGUAAUUAAAAGAGAUAGUAAGUAUUAAUUUAAAUUUAAAAUAUUGAAUUAAGCGUAUCACUAUAGUUAAUAUAGGGUUUUAGGUUUUAGGGGUAUAUAUAUAUGAUAUUAUUAAUUUAAGAUUUUAAGUCGGUUUAGGGGUUACUAUUUUAAGGUUAUUAUUAUAAUUGAUCAGGAGUAUAUAUAUAAUAUUGGAUUUAGGGAUAUGGUGUAAGGGCUGAGAUAUAAUGUUUAGGGGUUAGGGUUGGGGUUAGCACUUAGGGGUUAUUAGGAGUUGAUUAAGGAUUUAGAGUUUAGCUAGGGUUUAGAUUAAUUAGUAUUGCCAAAUUAUAUUUUAAAAAUGUUCUUAUAUAUAUAAUUGUAAAAGAGGUAAUAAUAAAUUUGUUUAGGAUUUUUCGGUUCGGUAUAUGAUUUGGUUUUGGUAUAUUAUUAAUUUAAAUACUAAUUUGAAUAGUAAUGCUCAAAUAAUUCAUGAAUAACACUUAAAUAUAUACUUAAAUAAUUUUGUGAAUUUGAAUUGAAAGAAUGAUGAAAUUGAAAUUGAAUUGAAAAACGAAGCUUAGAUUUGAAAAUAUGACUAUUUAGGUUUUAGGGACUAAAUUGAAUAAAAUGGAAAAUGUUAGGGAACUUCUCAAAAGUGGAAUGAGCUGAGUUAUACCUAUAACAGGAUGAUAUAAGACAAUUUUGUAAAAAAAAAUCCGGUGUUUACUUCAAAUAAAUGAGGAAAAUAACGAUUUGAAAGUUUCAAAAUUCAAUUUUAAACCGAAAAAAUCAAAAUUAAGGGGCAAAAGAGGAUCUUUUUCGAUGAAAACUUCGGCAAAUUGCCUUUGGCUAUUUGCCAGCGCGUAGAUCUCGAAAUGUUAUUCGAAAUCAAAAAAAAAAUCGCCUCAAUCGGACAACCGAGCCAAAAGUUAUGGCCUUUCAAAGUUUUCCAAGCUAAAAACACAAACUGUUCAUGCCACGUCAGCAAACUUUAUACAAAAAGUUUUUAGUAUUAAUUAUUGUUUAAUCAAUUAUAACUAUUUUUUGAUAUUUAUUAAAGAUUUAGGGAUUAUUUUGGAUGGCCAUACUAUUUUAAGGAUUAGGGGGUACAAAUUUAGGGUUUGGGAUAUAAGAGUUAGCUAGGGGUUUAGGGGUUACAAGUUGCGAUCUAGGGGUUAAAGAUUUAGGGUUUAGGGGUCAAAUAAGGAUUUUAGGUUAGUUUAGAUUAAUUUAUUUAAAUAAUAUUUUAAAAAAUCAAUCUAAAGUACCAAUUGAUAUAUUUAAAUAUUAUUUUAAAUAGAAUUCAUAAAUAAGUUAAAAAAUAUAUUGAUAUAUAUUAUAUGGGUGGUUAUAUAUUUAGGUAUAAUUAUUUAUUUUGGAAAUAUAUAUAUAUAGGACCAAAUACAUAAGAAAUGAAAUAAAAAAAACAAAAAAAAUUCAAAACGGCGCCGUUUUCGAAUGAAUAGUUAAACUUUUGGUGGCGUUUUUAGGAAAACGCCACAAAUAAUGUAAUUCCAGACCACGAAAACGGUGUCGCUUCUGUUCACAGCUGUAAUAUUUAGUGGCAUUUUUAGGAAAAUGCCACAAAAAAUGCAAUUCCAGACCACGAAAACGGUGUCGUUUCUGUUCACAGCUGUAAUAUUUAGUGGCGUUUUUACCAAAAACGCCACAAAACAGUGUUAAUAUAAUCGCUAAACGACGCUGUUUCCGGAACAAAUUUUUAAAUUAGAAAAAUUUUAGAAUAAUUUAUUGAAAACGUCAACGUUUGGCUUAAAAUAGAUUAAGUAUACGUGGCGGUUUUUAUUAAACGCCACAAAAAAUGUAAUUUCAGACUAAGAAAACGGCGCCGUUUCUGUUAAAAGGUUUAAUUUUUGUGGCGUUUGGUCUAUAAACGCCGCAAAGGUGUUUUAAAAUUUUUUCUCAACGAUGCCGUUUCUGCAGAUGGCUUUUAACUUAGCAUUUUUACUCACUCGUCGACAAAGACAUAAAGAAAAGGCAAGUGAAAACGCCGAUUGGGAAGGGGAAAAAACCUAAGAAAAUAUUCUAAGGAAGAAAGGGGAGGAGAAAUCAGAAAUCAUCAAAGAGGAAGCAACGAUUGCGCCAUUCUUGACAGUAGUUGCAGAAUAUCUGGUUAAAAGGUAUGCGUUUAAUCCUUCUGAAGAACAUCGUCUUGAUUUAGGGUUUUGGGUGCAUUGUGUUUUUCGAAUUUGGGGCUUAGAACCAAAAAUUAGAUUUUGGGGUUUGCGGUUUAGGUUAAAAUUGGAGUAGUAUGCUGUGUUACUUGAUAUAAUUUGAAGUUUGAUCGAGGAAAAAAAAUCCUCAACGUAAGGGAACUGUUUGUUUUUCGUUUGGACGAAUAACGACGAAAGGGGAGUGUAUAAUAUAUAGUAAAAAGUUUUGAAAUGAAAGGCAUUUUUUUAGAUGGGUCCGGCAGUCAAACCUAGGUUUUAAUUUGAGUGAAGCUGAAAGGAAAAACCCUAAAUGCUUGAACCAGGAACCUAAUUCAAAACCCUAGUGAGAGAAAUCUCAUCAAAUUUUCCCUACCAAGCUUGUAAUUAAGAAAUCAAAGUUGUAUUUAGUUAAAAAAAUCUAAUUGCUUAUCACCAAAACAUUCACUUGGGUGUUCAAAUUAGCCUAAAAGGAAAUUUGAUAUCUAUAACAUCUGUUUGAAGCAAGAGAUUUUUCCAUAUUCAACCAAAUUCACAUGAAUUGGGGCGAAGCCUGAUUGUUCGCUUUUUUGUCCACUGUUUUUAUUGUUCCGUUUUAAUUCUUCUGUAAAAAGAAAUUAGGGUUUCCUGUGGAAAUUCAAAAACGUUACAAAUUGAGAAAUAGCUGACAAUUAUAGAAUUUAAUAAGCAAGCUCCAUUUCUACUAAUAAUUAAUUUCACAUGAAAAUAUUUCAAGUUUACAACUUCACUAAAACAUGAAGACUGUGCAAAAGAUCACAUAAGAAAGAACAUCUUACAGAAUCCAUCUUGCGGGCCUUCCAUCUUUGAAGUAUAUAUUAGGCAUAAAAAUAACUCCCUUUUCCUUCUUCUUUCUGUAAGUAAUCAUUCUUCUUAUUUCGUGUGCUUUAUAAAGAAUAUAUCCACAACUUCUGUACAUUGAGAAACUUCUUUAUUAUGAGUAUUUAGUAUAGAAUAUAUAGUGAUAUAUACACUAGGGAUCAUGACCUAAUCGAAGCCUGUUGUUUCUCCAUUACAGCGAUUUUUGGAGAAGCAUAAAAGGGUAAGUACAGCCUUUCUGGUCAUGGUAGUAUUUGGGUAACUAAUGGGUAAAUAAAUUUGAAUAUCUCAAACUAUGGGUAACUAAUGGGUAACUAAUGUAUUAUCAUCUUUAUGGCUGUGGAUUCUAGAGUUUAAUCUGGAUUCCUUUUAAACUAUUGUGGCAACUAGGACAAUAAGCAAAACUGUUUUAUAUGUCAGUAUAUAUGAUUGUGGAUGGUGCUGGUGAGCUUGAGAAUACAUUCCCUUUAAUAGCUCUGCUAAUAUUUUGCAUAUGGACUAGACAAGAGAUACUAGUUUUAUACUAAUUCUUUCCUGUUUAUUUGGAACUAACUUACUUAUGUUUUCCUUUUUAUUUUUAUUUUUUGCAGUAGUUUGCUUCGAAGUCCAGGAAAUUGAGGUAUUUAUUCCUAUGUUUCCCACCUCGGUUUUCUUAAAAAAACACCUCCAAAUGUUUAAAUUUUGGAUUUUGUUAAUUUAAUUAUUAUUUUUAAGUUUUAAAAGGGAGUUUUAAUUAAGAAUUUUUUUUACGCUGUGGGUAUUGGUUUUAUUUAUCAUUUUUUAUUUAUAUGUUGCUAGCUCAAUUUGCAUGUUACUUUGCCAAAUUUUCCCAUAACUGCAAGGUAUAAACUAUGAUUGUAAUUCUUGUACGUAUUUGGCACCCAAGCAAAAACAAUUACGCAAAUGAUUAAAAUUCUUAAAUCAUUUUAUAUAUUUGAGUAAGUGAAUAAAUUAUGGGCAAAUAGUGGAUUUUAACUUAAAGUGAACAAAUUAUCGAUUUUCAAGGAUCUUGUCAAUUAAUAAAUUAUCGACGUUAGUUCUCAUUUAUGCGAUUGAAUGUUAAAUUUAUUACUAAAAUACAUUAAUUACUAAAAUAAAUUACUUACUAAAAUUUGUUUAAAUUUAUUACUAAAAUACAUUACUUACUAAAAUUUGUUUAAAUUUAUUACUUAAAAAUGUUACUUAAAUUUAUUACUUAAAUGAUUAUAAAUAAGAUGCAUAAAAGUGCUAUACUUACAUCAUACAUAUCUUACAUAACCAAAAGAUUGCUAUAAAUAAACCAUUUAUUAAAGAGUAUACCUUAUAAUUAAUUUUUGUUAUCAUGUUAUCAUGAAAGAUAAAAUAAAAUAUAAAAAAAUAUGUGGAAUAUUAAUAUUGACUAUUAAAAUAGCAUGUUAUUUUAUUAAAUAUUAUUAAUAAUUAUAAAAAAUAUGUGGAAUAUUAAAAUUGACUAUUAAAAUAAAAUGUUAUUUUAUUAAAUAUUAUUAAUAAUUAUAUUAGUAAUGUUAUUAAAUUAUAUAUUAUUUUAUUAAAUAAUACAUAAUAACUUACAACUUACAUAAUACAUUUAACUUACACAAUACAUUUAACUUACAACUUACAUAAUACAUUUAACUUACAACUUACAUAAUACAUAAUAACUUACAACUUACAUAAUACAUUUAACUUACAUAACUUACCAUUGUAAUUUCUGGUGAAAAUCAGACUUCAAGAUCUAAGAAAUGGACCGGUCUUGGAUGAAUUUGUCAAGGGUAAGCGACGUUUAUCGAAAUGGAGUACAGACUUUUCUAAAUUUUGCAUUUAAAUAUGCAAGCCAAGAGAACAUGAUUCUUUGCCCGUGUAAGAAGUGUGUCAACAUAAACUGGCAUUAUCGUGAAGUUGUAUACGAGCAUCUAAUUGUUUAUGGGUUUGUUCGGGGUUAUAAACAAUGGUUAUUUCAUGGAGAAUGCCCGCCUAGUACUUCCUCUUCAAGGAUGGAUGUAACUUAUCCUGAUACUGCUUACCAUCAGUCUGGUAGAGGGGAUGACAUGGAAGGUAUGUUGCGGGAUGCAUUUAAUAUGCACAAUCAUGGUGUCGAAUCAUUCCCAGCGGACUUUAUGGCCUCUGAUGAUUGUAAUAUUGGUGGAAAUACUUUUAUCGAACCGGGAAGUAGUGUACGUCAUGAAGAGCUGAAUGGAGAAGCGGCGAAGUUCUACGCGCUACUUAAUGACAUGAACGAAGAACUGUAUGAGGGAUCAAAAUUUUCAAAGAUGUCCUUCUGUGUUCGUCUUUUUCAAUUAAAGUGUUUGGGAGGGUGGACCGGAAACUCGUUGACAAUGCUGUUAGAGUUUUUGAGAGAAAUGUUCCCAUUUGCAAAAAUCCCUCGGUCAUGCAAAGAUAUGAAGAAGAUGAUAAAAGAUUUAGGCCUUGGGUAUAACAAAAUCCAUAGUUGCCCAAAUGACUGCAUGUUGUAUUGGGGCGAUCGGAGAAACCAACAGUGCUGUCAUGUAUGCGGCCACUCUCGUUGGACAAGUAGAAACACAGAAGAUGGGAACGACGAUGAAAAUGAUGCACAGUCACGGAAGAAGCCAGCCAAGAUUUUACGGUAUUUUCCGUUGAUACCAAGGCUUCAAAGGCUUUUCAUGUCGUUGAAGACAGCGGAGUCAAUGACAUGGCACCAUGAUGGAUGAACCGUUGAUGGAUUGCUAAGGCAUCCGGCAGAUUCUUUAGCUUGGAAAUCAUUUGACAAUAAAUUUACAAGCUUCGCAAGCGAUCCUAGGAGUGUGAGGCUUGGGCUAGCAUCUGAUGGAUUUAAUCCUUUCAAGAUCAUGAGCACUGCCUACAGUACUUGGCCAGUAGUGCUUGUUCCUUACAAUCUGCCUUCGUGGAUUUGCAUGAAGCAAUCUUCCCUUAUCUUAUCUAUGAUUAUCCCUAGAGAGAAAGGGCCCGGGAAUGAUAUCGACAUUUAUUUGCAGCCACUUAUUGAAGAGUUAAAACAAUUGUGGGCUGGUGUCGAGACAUAUGAUGUGCUGAGAAAGGAGAACUUUAAUUUACGUGCAGCUUUAAUGUGGACCAUUAAUGACUUUCCCGCUUAUGCCAAUUUAUCCGGUUGGAGUACCAAGGGUCGUUAUGCGUGUCCUUAUUGUGCUGUACAAACAUGUUCGCAAUGGUUGUACAAUGGGAAGAAGUUCUCUUACAUGGGGCAUCGUCGGUGGUUACCGAAAAAUCAUAGAUUUAGAUUUCAGAGUUCUGUAUUUGACGAUACUGAAGAGUUCAGAGAAGCUCCUUCGCAGACCAGUGGCUCUGAAAUCUUGUUCAUGUUGGAAGAUAUGAAUUUCAUUUAUGGAAAGAUGAACCAACCGCCAAACACGCAAAGAAAUAUCAGAUCCAAUGAUGAAGCUGAUGAUGACUCUGAUAAAGAGGACGAUCCUAAUGAGGCGGAGUUGUGGAAAAAAAGUAUUUUUUUUGAGUUACCUUAUUGGGAGCAUCACCUUCUACGACAUAAUCUUGAUGUUAUGCACAUUGAGAAAAAUGUCUGCGAGAACAUUGUGGGUACAGUUUUGAAUGUCGACGGAAAAUCAAAAGACAAUUUUCAGAGUCGACUUGAUUUAGUCCAAAUGGGAAUCCGACCUGAUCUCCAUCCCAAUCCACUUCCGAAUGGGAAAUAUCGGUUGCCGCCUUCUAUUUUUUCAAUGUCGAAGACGGAAAAAGAAUUGUUCUGCACGGUGUUGAAGGAUAUAAAGGUUCCAGAUGCGUAUGCAUCAAAUAUAUCUCGAUGUGUUAGUGUUAAAGAUCGAAGAUUAUAUUCGCUAAAAUCACAUGACUAUCACAUCUUGAUGCAAGAUUUACUACCAGUGGCUCUGCGAUGUUGUAUGUCCAAGAAGGUGACGUCUUGUAUAAUUAAACUAUCCAACAUAAUGAAAGCCAUUUGUGGCAAAGUUUUGGACGUUCAAGAACUUCAGAAGGUACAGGAUCAAGCUGCUUUGACUUUAUGCAACAUGGAGAAAAUCUUCCCACCUUCCUUCUUCACCAUUAUGGUUCACUUGAUAAUCCAUCUCCCGCACGAAGCAAUUCUUGGCGGACCCGUUUUCUAUCGAUGGAUGUAUCCCAUAGAAAGAUGUUAAUUAAAAUUUUUAAAGUUUUCCUUCAUUCACCUCUAUGCCUUUAGUUUCAAUAAUUAAGAAAUGUUGUAUAUUGUGUUUAGGUUUCUAUCCAAAUUAAAGUCUUACUGCCGCAACAAGCGAUAUCCAGAAAGAUCGAUUGCUGAAGGCUACUUGGCAGAAGAAUGUAUGACCUUCUGCUCAAGAUAUUUGGAAGAUGUUGAAACAAGGUUAAAUAGACCAAAUAGGAAUGCUGGACUCACGGACCAUAACUUAGCCGAUACUUAUUUGUUCCAAAGUUUUGGAGAACCAAUCAGAAAAGUUGAAAUUAUAGAAUUAGAUCAUUUAUCGUGGGUACAAGCACAUCGAUAUGUUCUAUUUCACCACGAAUUAUUGGAACCUUUACGGAAGUAAGUUCUACAAAUUUGAUAAAUAUUUAUCAAACUAAUAACUGUUUAUCUUCUAACAAAGAUUACAUUUUUUUAACACAGUGAGUACAAACAAAUAUUGAGAUCUCGUUUGCGCUCCCGAAGAACACAACAUCGAGAUAUCAAUAAGUUGUCUACAGAAUCUUUUUAUGAAUGGUUAAGCCAAACGGUAUGCAGUUCGAGCUUCCGCUUACAAAUAAUAAUUUUUUCUCAUAACAAAUGAGUUACUCAGUUUACUUUCCAUUCAAUAGGUUUGGAGUGGGAAGAACGUAAACGACGAUGUUAAAUGGCUCUCCCAAUGUCCAAAUCGAGUGGUUAAAAGAUAUAGUGCGUUCCUCAUCAACGGAUUCAGAUUUCAUACAAAAUAUCGCGAGAGGUUGAGGAGAACGCAAAAUUGUGGAAUAGUUGUCAAUUCUGCAAUUACAAGUUAUGCUAGUGCUAGGGACAAUAAUCCUGUCGAGGGAAAUGUGGAAUAUUUCGGACAACUUACUGACAUAAUUGAGUUGGAUUACUACGGCAAAUGGAAAGUUGUCUUAUUUCGUGGUGAUUGGGCCGAUGUUAAUACAGCUCGUGGAAUUAAGCAAGAUCUAUUUGGUUUUACAAUGGUGAACUUUGACCGAUUGAUUCAUACAGGACAACAACUGAUAGAUGAGCCGUAUGUAUUCUCAUCUCAAGUUAAACAAGUUUUUUACUCAAAAGAUCCAACUGAUGAUGGUUGGUAUGUUGUACUCUGUAACAUCCCUAGAGACUUGUUUGACAUGGGCAGUGGAAGUAGAGAUAACAUCGACGAUAGAUCAGUAACUUUGCCCUUUCCAGAACAAAACUUAAAUGAUAAUAUCCCUAGUACUAGUGCACAAUUUGGAUGGGUUCGUCAGGAUACUGAUGAAGAUAUUUACGAAUAAUGAUGUAGUAAGAUUUUACGAUUGUUUAAUUAUAUGUAAUAUCAUAAUUUAAAUCUUCGUCUUAUUAUAUGUUUCAACUGUUUUAUAUGUGUUGUUAUUGUUGUAAUUAGCUAUUAAGUUAUUAACUAUUUUAUGUGUAUUGUAGAUAAAAUGACUAGAAGAAAAAUUCUAAGGGGAAGCAUUGUUCAAAAUAAUCCAAACUCGACAGAAACAAAUAGUACUGAACAACAGACAGCAAUUGGAUCUUCAAAUGUUCCGAUUACAGCUGAGGAUCCUACAGAAGUUCAAAGUAAUUUUACAUUUAAUUUACAUGUGUGUUUCUGUUAUAGUUGAUUUAUUUUUCAAAUUCUUAUAUUAUAAUAUACCAUUUGUAGCUGAAAAUGGUGGGACGCGCAGAGGUCGAGGACGUACGCUACUUAGAGAGUUGUACGAGUUAGAUCCAGUCGAGCGUGUCAAAGUUGGACGAAACAGUUUUGGUUAGCCUGUUGGAUCAGAAGCUCGACUUUUAGCUGGAUACAUGGGCAUUUUAGCACGAAAUCCGAAUAUGUUACCUAUAAACUACGAGUCAUGGCAUCAAAUGCCCGAUAGCAACAAAAACCAAGCCCUCGAUAAUAUUAAGGUAACAAAAUGUUAAUGUCAUCUAUAAUGCUUGGGAAAUAGUUUCAUUUAUAUUUACUUUAUUAACUUGUGUUUUUUGUUUUUUGCAGGCGAGGUUUGCUUUAGAGGUCUCGGAUGCUUAUGUAAAGAAGGCAUUGGGAAAAAGAUGGAGAGACAACAAAAGUACUUUGAAGAAAAAUUAUUAUAAGACAAAAACAACCCUCGAUGAGAAAUUGCAAAAUGUCCCGCCGGGUAUGUUGAGGUACCAAUGGGAAGAUGCGGUUAGAUUUUGGCAUUCGAAUAAAGGCGAGGUCUGACGUCCUUCUAAACUAUUGUAAUUAUUUUGGUUUAUAGUAUUUUCUAUUUACGUACUAAAAAAUUUCAUAGCGUAGGAUAGUGAACAAGUUGGAAUAAGCAGCAGGCAGAAACAAAAAUUCACCCAUACAGCCGGGUCGAGAAGUUUCGCAUGUGUAGCUGAGGCGGAGGUAUUUUUAAAUUUUUUAAUAUUGUCGAAUAUGUAUAACUUUCUAUUAAAUAAUAUUUAUACUACUAUAUUGUAGGAACGGUCGUCCGGUCAAAAAGUUGGACGCCUUCAACUUUUUGAAAUUACACAUAGGAAGAAAGAUGGAUCUCCCAUGACUCUUGAAGCUGCUGAAAUAAUGGUACGUUUACUUAAUACGAUUUGACUUAUUUUAGUUAUUUAUAGUGUUUAUUUUCUAAUGGUUUAAUUCAUUGCUUGUAAUGCGACUAUUGUUAUGUUGCAUAUGUUUUUCAAUAUAUAAUAUUGCGUUCCUAACUAUGUGAUAUAUUUAUUAGGAAAAACUAAAGGAUAAAAAAGCGGAGUACGAAGCAAUUGCUUCUAGUGAUAGUUCGGUUCAUCUUGAAGAUAUUGAUAACCGGAUUAUUACUGAAGUUUUGGGUCCUAAAAGGUAUGGUCGGGUUCGAUUUCAAGGAUCUUUUGUUAGCCCAACCCAAUAUUUUGGAUCCAGCUCCCACCAAUACAUGGCUUCGGGGAGUCAGGCUCAAGCUGAAGUUCAGAGGUUAAAAGACCAGAUGGCUCAGAUGCAAGCGACUACAAUUGAGGUUCAAAGGAAAUAUGAAGAACUCCAGCUACAACUUAAAGCAGAGGCGGAAGCGAGGAAAGCGGAGGCUGCAGCGAGGGAAGCGGAGGCUGCAAUGAGAGAAGCAGAGCAGAGCAAAAAGUACGACGAACUUCAGCAGCAGCUUCAGAUUAUGAUGAAGAUGUUUAAGUCGCAACUUCCGCCUUCAUAGUGUAUGACAUAAAUAUUUUUAUCAUUUUAACAUUUAACAUUUAACAUUUUUUGCAAAAACAAUAUGAAUUCAUUUUUAUUUAUUGAUAUUAAUAAUAUUUUAUUCCCUUAUGUUGAAAUAUUAUAUAAAUUUAUUGCUAUUGGUUGCUUUUGAAUUUUUGCUACAGGAGGGCAGAAAAAAUGAAAAUUUUAAUAUAAAAAAAUCCCCAAAAUAGUGGCGUUUUUGUAUAAAAGCGCCACUAAAGAACAUGGUCUUUAGCGGCGUUUUUGUUUGUAAACGCUGCAAACGUUUGCGACGUUUUCGUUAGCGGCAUUUUUUGCGGCGCUUGAAGAAGCGCCGCAAAGAUCUUUAGUGGCGUUAAAAAGCGCUGCUAAAGGCCUAAAAAAACGCCGCUAAAAACCUGUUUUGGUUAGUGACUGUACUUAGUAAUCGAAUUUAACUAAACAGAUUUAAAUGCUACCGUUUGAAUCAAGAGUAAAAUUUCAAAAUUCAAAAUGUACAAGGACUAAAGUUGAUCAAAUCAAAAUAUAGAGACUAAAUCUACAACUUCUGUAAAGUAAAGGGACUAAUAACAGAAUUUAACCUUUUAAUUUUUUUUUUCGCUUUGUUUCCGAUGCUCAACUUUUAUCGAUUCCCAUUUUUAUUAUUAUUUAACUUACAUAAUUGAUCUUCCUGUAAAAUUAAUAAUUUAAUUUCAACAUUUUUUUUCCUUGAUGGAAUGAAAAACUAAGGAUGCGCUCUCUGUUUUCUUUUUUUUCUUUUCUAUUUUUUAAAAAUAGAAAAUAUGAUUGGUAAAUGAAAAUAGAAAUUUGUUAAAUAAUGAAAUAAUGAAAACACGUUUGAUAUGUAUUUUUCAAAAUAAAAAUAAAAAUAAAUUAAUUAAUUAAAAUGUAUUACAAUAAAAUAAAAUAUAAUUAAAUAAAAUAGUUUAAAAUUUUCAAAAAUAAACAGUUAUUUCUAAAAGAUUCGAACUCAGGUUAUUUUAAUACAUAAAAUGAAACUUAAAAAAAUCUCUUAUUUUCAACUUUUUUCAAAAUAUUUUAUUGAAAACAUGUUUUUUUAUCUAAUUUUAAUUUUCUAAAAAUUAUUUUCAAAAUUUAUAACCAUGUUUCUUCACUAUUUUUCAUUUCCAAAAAAUUGAAAAUUACACUCCCUAAUUUGUUUACUCUUUUCAAAAAUUAAGAAUUCAAUUUAAACUCUUUUUAACCCUUUAUUAAAUAAAAAUAUUACAUUUUUGACUUCUCACAUAAAUUAAUACCCUUUUUCAAUUUGGCCGAGUGAACCAGUCGAUUCAAUUUUUUUCAUCCAUGAGAAUUGUUGAGCCUAUCUGCUCGCCGGCCCGACAAAGUCUUAUUUGACUGUGUCGUGUAAGCACCAACGUUCGACGUGGAUAGAACUUCAUGCAAGGCAGAGAGCUAUAUAGUAAAGAAAGAAAGAAAUGAGAUUAGAUUAGACACUAAUUAAAUGUCACAUGAUUUUGUAAGACCCACCAAAGAUUUCACUACAAAUUCCAAUGAAAUUGACAAAAAAAAAAAGAAAACCUUUUAUUAAGUUCAAGUUUUCAACAACAUAAAGGAAGGGGGAAAAAAAAUCUCUGAUCAGACAUUUUUGCUAAUUUCCUUAAAUGGGUUACCCCACCAUGACUUCAUCAAUACACAAGAAAAAAAAAAAGACUACCAAAUCAAGCUGACACAACUUUCCACGUGCCCAAAUGCCCAUUCUUGUUGCACCCUAGCAUCCCCCAUGGCAACUAUCUGCCACAAGUUGCUUCUAAUAAUGGGCUUCAUCUUUCAAACAAAAGAAACCAAAUUUACAUUAAGUGUAGCUAACUGUAGCCUCUAAUAAUAUUGCCCCAGCUGAGGCCUAUAUUAUAUAUUUUUGGUUGUUUCACACAUUUUUUAAGUGGAACCGAGUCAAACCCUAAGCCAAAAAAAGGAGAAGCUCUCUCUCAAUGGCUUGUGGGUCCAUACCAAGAGAGGAUUUCAUGAUAAUAAUGUAAGAGAAGUAAUAAUUAACUAAGUGCAUCGAUAGAUAGAUCUAAAAGGACUAGCUAACUACCCUAUCCAUGCCAUGAACACCCAAAAUAUCAAUGGCAGCAGCAAGUUUUUCUUGAGGACAAAACAGAAGUAAAUCAUAUACCAUAUAUACUAGUUUGAUUGUUGAUAGCAUAGCAGAUCAGUUCUAUCUAUUUGUCAUCUACUAGGGUUUCCCACAAUCAUGUGGCUACAAAUCAAUGCACCUUUCAUUUCCAUUUAUUUGUUUAUUAUUUAUGUUAUUUAGCAAAAUAUAGUGGACAAUCUCUGCAGUCAGCCGGGGGACCCUUAUGCCAUGACACUCACAUUGAAUCAUUUCAAUUUCAUACCUGCUAAGGCAGACCAGUUAUGGAGAAAGGGAGAUUGUCUAGAAGGAUCACACGGUGGCAGGCAUCAAUGAGAAGCAUUGCCAACUAGAGCAUGCUUGUUGCAGCAUCUGUCCUGCUAGUGGAGACAAAAGAAAAAAAGGAAGCAUCCAAAUAAUUAUCAAUAAUUCCAGUAUGGAACAGUCCUAACAAUCAAACCAAUAAACUAUUCUUCUCGCAAAAGAAUAUGCAUGACUUGCUACACUACCAAAAUCGAUACAAUUUUGCCUUACCUAUCUUGGCCAUUUCCAUGAAAGGCAUGUAAUGCGGGUCUAGAUAGUGAAAACGUGUCGGCUCUUCGAUUGUGCAGGGCCAAGAAAACUAUUCAGAUCAGGCUGAACCAAACCACUAACAGAUAUAAAAACAUACAGGUGGCAGAGACAAUCCGCUUUUCAAUCAUCAUUCAGAAAGAUUAUUCUUGCAAUCAGCUGCAAUACCAUAAUUUCAUGUAAUAAUAAUAAUAAUAAUAAUAAUAAUAAUAACAACAAGAACAAUUGCUAAGAUUAACUGCAUACUUCAAACAAAACAACAAAUUCACCAAGUGAAGAAAAUAUAAAAGUUAAAGACGUGGAACACUUACAUUGUGUAUGUUUGUCAAAUUUCACCUGAAGCCGCCUGGGAUGAAACCGGUGGCACCAUAUAGAACAUGAUAACCCAACUUUCAAUGGUUUAUCACUUAAAAAUGGAUGCUAAAGAUUAGUAUCCCCAUCUUUUGACAUGCAACAUUUUCAACCAAAAAAAUUAAAUCCCACCAGGAUAAAGCCUUGUAAUAGACCAUUUUCAGUGAAAUCGAAACAGUGAUUUCAGGACCACAAAUCUGAAGUCAGAAGAAAAUUUAUUUUAAUAUUAUUUUAUGGUCUACAGUAUGAUAGAAAUAUCGUAUAAAAAUUUCUUUAAGAAAUUUUGACAUUUACAUGCCUAACUUGAUAAAAAGGACUAAAUUGCAUAAUGUGUGAAAAUUGAAUUCUAGUAGUUAAAAGUAUCAAAUAGCUAUGGAAUUUAAAACUGGAGGUCCUUAUAUAGUAAAUAGACCAUUUAGAGGAGUUAGUGGAUAAGUAUAAUUAUUCAUCAUUGGAAAUUGAAGAGAAUAUUAAGGUUAAUUUUGGAAAGUAAAUGAUAAAAUGAUGAUAAAUAAAUUAAAUAAUUAUUAUUAUCUAUUCUCAUAAUCUUUCAUAAAAAAUAUGGAAACUCUAGCCAUGGAAGCUUGAGUUUUUAGCAAACUUAUUUUGCUCAUUUGGGUAAGUAUUCUUGUCUCAUUUUUAAUGAUUUUUAUGUUUCUGAGAUCGUAAUAGCUUAAUUUAGCUAUCUCGGGGAUUAAUUUGCAAAAUCGUUAAAGUAAUAAGGUUUUUCCAUGGAUGAGUAUAGUUGAAUUUUGAAGUUUUAUGAUGGAAAAUGAAAGGUUGUUGUUAGAUAAACAACUUUUGUAAAGAGAAUUUUGAUGAAAUUGUCAAUUAGAGACUAAAUAGAAAAGAUGAAAAAUUUAUGGAAAAUUCUGAAUUUUGUGAAAUACAUGGGCUGCUAUUGAUAUGUAUGAAACUAGACUUGAAUAAGGAUUAAAUUGUAUGAAUUUCAUUUUUCGAGCAUAGGGGCUAAAUUGUAAUUAAUUAAAAGUAUAGGGGCAAAAUAGUAAUUUUGCUAAAGAUGUGUGUUGGAUUAAAUUAAAUAUGAAUUAUAUUAAAUUGAGUUAAAAUUAAUUCGUAUAGAUCUAGAUAAACCUAAUAAGGAGUUAGAUCGAGACAAAGAAAAAGUAUCGAAUUAGUAGCCUUCGUAUCUAUAUAUACUUAUCAAGGUAAGUUCGUGUAACUAAAUUUUAUAUUUAAAUGUUUUAAAUUGAAUAUUGUUGUGUGUGAUUUGUACAAAUUUCCAUGUGUAAUUAUGAUCACAUAUCUGAUAAUUAUCGAGUCCCGUUUGAACCUUAGAAAUUCGAAGGAUACAAAUGACAUGUCAUUAGGGUUCCUGAUAUGGUUGUAAUCCUGCAUGUGUUGCGGAUACAUUACAGCUCUCUUGAGCUUCUCUAUAUUUGGCUCAUAAGAGCUUCCUGAUAUACAGCUCGUAUGAGCUUCCCGUUACUUAGCUCACAUGAGCUUCCUAUUAUAUGGCUCGGAAGAGCUUCCCGUUUACAUGCUUGUAUAAGCAUACAAGUACAUGAAUUGACGGAUUAUAGAUUUGUACACUUCGUGUGUACUACCCGUGUAUCCAAUGAUAUUUUAAAUGGUUCAACGAAUAAAGUUCUGAUAUGAAAUAAUAUGAGUUUGAAAUGAACAAUUACGUGUAUAUACUUGAAUUACAUGGAAAUGAUAUUACAUGAUAUAUUGAAAUAUGAUAUGGAUGAUACAUGUACGUGAAUCUUACCUAGUGAUUAUGUACAUCCACAUUUAUUAGUUAUGGAAAGUGUUACAUAACUAGCAUGUUGAGGAUAUAUGUUUAGGCUUUUGGCCAAAUUGGUUUGGUUAUAUUAGCAUGCUUACCUUAAAUGUGAUUAAAUGGUAAGUUAAUUUCUUUGUUAUACAAACUUACUAAGCUUAAAUGCUUACUCUGUGUUAUUUCCCAUAUUUUAUAGUAAUUCGAAAGCCCAUUUUGGUUAGAAGCUGGUCGAAGUAACUCCACACUAUCCAUCGACCUUUUCGGUAUAAUUAGUAAAUUAAUUUUGAUUAUAAUGGCAUGUAUAGAUUAACUUGGCCAUUGAUGACAUAUAAAUGUUUUGAUGGAACUAGCCAUUUGAAUGACUUGUGAUGAAUAAAUUUUGAUGUGUAUAUAAGUGGCCUUAUCAUGUUUGAUGUGCGUUUGAAAUGGUUGAAUGAUGAAAAUCUUAUAGGUAUAUUGAUGGUUGGGUUGAAUUGGUAUAUUUGGUAAGUUAUGCAUAUAUGUAUUAGGUCAUAUAGGUGAAAUUGGUUAUUUGGUUGAUAUGAGUUAUGUUGUCAUUUAAAGAGCCUAAGGGCAUAUUGUUGGUAUGUGAUAGUAUUACAUGUUUAAGUAUUGAUUUUGACUUGAUUUGAAUGCCUUAUUAUGGUUUGUUGAUGUCCAAAAAUGUUGAUUUAGGUUGAUGACAAAUUGAGUGGGAAAUAUGGCUAGGAAAAUGACCUAUUUUUGUCCAUACGGGCAGAGACACGGGUGUGUGUCUCAACCGUGUGUCCCCUGUAACUUAAAUUUGCAUAAAACAGAAUGCUCACACGGCCUAGAACAUGGGUGUGUUGCUUGGUCGUGUAACCUAAUUCAGAGAGCUCACAAGUUUAAACAUGGGUUGAGACAUGGCCAUGUGUCUCAAUUUCAAAUGCCCACAUGGCCUAAGACACACGGCCUGGCCACACGGGUGUGUGUCCUCUACACCUUUGAAAAAUUUUAAUGUUUUUUGAAAAAAAUUUUAAGUAAUCGAUUUAGUCCCGACUUAUUUCCAAUGUGUAUUUUGAGCCUCGAGGGCUCGCAUAAGGGACAAAAGAAUUGAUUUUAGUUGAUUUCUGAUAUGUAUUCUAGAUGAUAUGAAAUGUAUUAGUGUAAAAAUUGUUAGACGUUGUAGAAGGAGGAUCUCGAGACUAUUCUACAAAUUUCCAGUUUCGAUAGAUCUAAUCAAAUUCACUAAGAUGGAACUUGUAAAUGAUAAAGACAUGGAGACAAUGGUUGCGUUUUAUUUCCAGAAUCAGAGUCGCCAAACUGAUUCGAUUAAGUUGUUUGCUGAAUUAGUUGAUAUGGAGCCAGCUGAAGAUUUCACUCCAUUAGGUGAAUAAAAUGGAGUUCAACUGCAUCAUUCCUUUUUUCAGUAUUGAUUGUCAAAAUGCAAAAAUGAUACCAGUAUCGAGUGUCAUACCAGAAAGCAUGAAUAGCUAAAUAGAUAGACAUAUAGUAGUUAUACGGAGAUUGGGAUGCGUCGUACAAUAAGCUACAAGGGUGUAUAGCCGUUAUGCAGGAGUAGAUGCCAGAGACUGUCAUUAAGUUCUAGUCACGACCUUAUUACGGCCCGGCCAGCCAACUACAAUCAGGAAGAAAAAUUUCACCGGAUGUUUUGGGCGUUUGAUCAUUGCGUGCGAGUAUUUCCCCACUACAAACCACUUAUGCAGGUUGAUGGGACCUGGCUAUACAAAAGAUAUAUGCAGAUCCUACUUAUUGCAGAUGCUUAAGAUGGGAAGCAAAAUUUUCUCCCGAUAACGUUUUUUUUAUUGUGGAUAAGAAGAACAUGAAAUAAUGAGAAUCUUUCCUAACUAACUUGCGAAUGUAUGUUGUUAGGAACGACAAUAUUUGCAUAAUAUCCGAUAGAGGAAAUGGAAUAAUUUCCACGAUUAGGCAUUUCGGUGUUCCAUAAAUAUUUGCUUACUGCAUCCAUUAUAUCGAGACUAACUUUCACCGAGACUACAAGAAUGAAAAUUGACAGAAAUAUGUUAUGGAAAUGGGUAAAUUUUAGUUUCAACAUAUGUUUUAAAUGUUCUUAAUACUUCAAUAAAUUAAUUUGAAACUGUAACUUGUCUCUUUUUAAUACAUAUUUAGCGUAUCAGCUAGAGCCACACCUUUUUAGGCAAAGGAUGACCAAACUUGAGGGUGACAUGCAAGGUGAAAUGAAUACGUCUUUUCAAGAGUGGUUGGGUACCAUGAAGUCGUGGCAAUAUACUUAAAAUUUUGAUGACAGGGCUUGAUAUGGUCAUAUGACCACCAACUUGACAGAGGCAGUUAAUUCCGUGUUGAGGCAAACAUGACAUCUUCCGAUUUCAUCUGUUUUCUCAGCUAUGUUCUACAGGCUGCCUACCUUGAUGCCAAGAAUGGGGCUAAAACAAGUCAACCAGAUAGAGGUGGGACAUAUGUUUGUCGAAGAUGUCAGGAAGACAAUGGAUGAAAACCACCGAAGAUCGAGGUCGAUGAAUAUAGAAAUAUAAUCUCGAUAGUUAGAAACUUUUCAAGUUACAGAAUCCAUCAAUCGUUGACCCGGUAUCCAUCUAGGUUCUAUAGAGUUGAUCUCCGAAACAGACAGUGCGAUUGUGAGAGGUUCUAGUCACUUUCGUUACUCUUGUGUGCGUGUCAUUGCAACUUGUACAUGCACCUCGAUCAAUGUUGAACAAUAGAUCGAUGAGGUGUGCACUCUCGAGCGCACAUUGCGUAUCUGAAGAAAUGAGUGCCCCGUCCUGCGUGAUCUGUCUACAUGAAAAGUGCCUUCGUCGACUUUCGAGCUUGUCCCGGACAAGGCAUUACGUAGAAAGCUGAAAGGUCACCCGCAAGUCACCUGGAUCUAUAAUAGAAUGGACAUGAGGGAGAAAAUCAAUGGCAAAUUUUGUGAACUAAGUGUACACCCCUCAAACUCCGUGGAGGGUCCAGGAUAUGUUGGACACACCUGAACUGUCGCAAUACUCGAUCCCUAUUAAGCCACUCAACUGUCGAGAAAUUCAGCAGGGGAUGUGUUAAUGCACCAAAAAUGUGAGUGAAUGUAAGUAGACCAGAGAAAAAUAACUGCAAUGCCCGAGAAGGAAUAUGACAACUAGAUGAACUGCACAAUUAAUAAUAUCGUUAUAGUAGCACGAGUCAAAUAACAUAAAUAAAGUAAUUACAUGUAAUGAAUAUUAGUAAAAAUUACACCCUUCCCAGAGUAUCUCAAUCAUCUAGAGGUAAAUUGGAAGCGUAUAUGACCUCUCGGUACUCGGAGAAGAACUCCAUCUACGAAAAAAGUAAACUUGUUAGAACAAAUUUUCAUAAAAAGUAACAUAAUUCUUGUUGUAAUAAUUAAAUUUUAUAAACUAUUCACGAGUAGGAAGACAUGUUUGAUGAGUAACUGAUGCCAAGAAUGACAUCUUGUAAAGCACUUAGGACUGCAGCAAUACCAAGCACCCGCCUAUGUCCACGGCACGACGCUUUGUCAUCUGGCAAAGCUCGUGAUACAAUGUAGCUAGUACUGUUGAUCCCUCAUUGUAUGAACGAGCAACGUAUAAAUCAGAUAAUAGAGGCAAGUACAUUAAGUAGACUUUUUUUUAUUCGCAUUUGACAUGAGUACACCCCUAUCAUAUGCAUUAUAUACGCCCAAGUGGCAUACAUCACCUCUCGCCCAAUGACAGUACUCGAUAAAUACUUGAAAUUCACCUUUAACCGUAAAAAUCUCAAAGUCGUUAAUUUAUCGCCACCAUCAUCAGGCGAGCGUCCUAGUAACUCAUAACAAAUGGAUGCCGGAUCGGACAAUGUACUAACACUCGUGACCACAAUGCCGUUGAUCGAAAACCCGAGUUGCAGUGCAACAUCUUCAAGAGUGAUGGUGCACUCCCCACACGGCAAAUGAAAUGCGUGGGUCUUUGGGCGUCACCACUCGACCAAAGCGAAAUUAAGUCGUACUUGAAAUCAAACGUGUAGAUCAUUGCAAUCGAUCCAAAUCCGAAUGCCUCCAAGUAUGACAUAAGAUGGGGAUCCAAUAGAUAGCCCACACCAUUGACACGACCCCUCAGUACACGACACAGACCCUUAACAUAUUAAAUUACCGCAAUAUUUAAUAUAUUGAAAUUAGGCUCCAUUUGUUUCAUUGAAAAUGGCUUCCGAAAAAUGAUUUUUGAAAAAUGACUUACUUUUCUGAAAAAGCUAAUAUUUUCUGGUGUUUGGAUGAAUUUGUAUAAAAUGCUUUAUGUUAUUUGACAGAUUUCCUGAAAAUAUUUUAUGUUAUCUUUUUUUUUUUUAUUGAGUUUAUUUUAUUUCUAUAAAAUUACAUUUUGCAAUGUUUUUGUGUAUAUAUAUUACAAUGUUUUAUUUUUUAUAUAAAUGUUAUGGUCGUGCAAUUUCUAUUUCUAGGCUAAAUUCCAAUUUCUAAAUCUUUUAUCAAAAUUUGAAAUGUGAAGAUGACAGGCUCACGUACAUCUAAAGAAGAUGUAUUUGAUGCUUUAACCAAAUACACAACAUUUGGAUCUUUGAACUUAGCAAUAACUACUUCAAUUGCACAUAAGAAAAUACUCUCCACAUCAGAGGGUUUGUUUACAAGACAACGGUUCUAUUACAAUUGAAAACUAUACUUUGUCUAGCAUACAACAUAGAGCAAAAUGUAUGCUUCUGGAGAAAGCAUUUCUUCAACACUAGUAACCUACAAAAGAUUGAACAUGACAAUUAGGUCCAAGAAAAUAUGUUUUAUUGUCUUUAUAAGACUAAAAAACAUGCCAAUAAUAUUAUAUAUAUAUAUAUAUAAGGCUCAAAAUAUUAUGAUGAACCAACCUAGAAAUAGAAAUUGCACAGCCAUAACAUUUGACUAAAAGAUAAUCUAGCCUUUAGUGGAAUUUUAGGGGCAGCAGGUUGCUUGUGUAUCUUAUACAUUACAUAUAGAAGCAUUAUAGUUUUCCUUACUCCAACUCAACCACCACAAAAUUCUUAUUAGUCCUACUUUUUACUAGCCAAGAACUCUCCUUUAUCCCAUACAAUUAGCAUUCCUACAUCUUUCCUCUUAUGAUUGUUUCACUAUUUUAAUGAGCACAAAAGAGAAAUAGAACAAAUAAUAAAGAACAAAAAACAAAGGGUAAAUGGUAAAUAGAUGUAGCUAACAAUACAACAUAAUAGAAAAACCAAUAAUCAUAGCUUAGCUUACGUUUCCCAACCCUUUAAAACAUCCUUAACUGUCAAAAUAGAACUCUAAACCAGCAAAAACUUUAAUAAUAUACUUCAAUUUUGCAAUAAAAUACUAUGUUAAUAUGAUGCAACAAUCAAUCAGUACGCCUCAACCAUGCACCAUGAAAAGACAUAUCUUCUUCCCCUUCCUUUUCCCCUUUACUUUUUCUUUAAACACCAACUCGGAUGUUGAAAUUCAAUCCUUCGAUGAAUAGAUAUACAUAUAGGGUCAUUACAUUUUUACUAAUGAUUUGUCAUUGUAGUGCUGCAGUUAAAUUGAUUAGAAUGUAAUCCCAAGUUUUUGUCUCAAACAUUUAUAUUCUUACAAAGUUAAUAACUUCAAAAUUGUAAAUCCAAAAUAAAAUCAAUUUAAAGGAUAUCUUACUUUCCUAUGUUAUUAUUAUUAAGUAAAUUAUAAGGGUGUGUGAGAGUAAAUUGUAAAUGUAUCAAAAAAUUAACUACAGAGAAAAAAGAAAAGAGGUACCUGUGUUUUCCAAUUGGCUUCAGCAUCCUUCUAUUGCUGACUUAGAACUAAAUCCUCUUGAAAGAUUACAAAAGGCGAAGUUGAAGCCCUAAUAUAAUAACAAAAUUGAAAGUGAAGAUUAUGAUCAAUUUACAAACUUUGCUACUGCUGUGGCUGAGAGAAAAAGUGAGUGAGAUUGCAAAAGAAAGAAAAAACUGGUUGACAGCCAUCACGAGAAAUGCUGUGAAAUUCCUCUUCAACCAAAAGAAAAUAACCAGAUUGGCUUUUUACAACUUUUCUAAAAUUCAGUAAAAUAGUGAUAUACCUUGAUAGGACUGGAAAGCCAAAUUUUGAGGGUUUUUUUCGAAAUGUAGACUUGGUAAGAAUGACGGUCAACCGACAGAGAUGAUGAUACUGAGAUGAGGAGGUGCAGCCAACGGACAAAGAGGAGGAGGGGGGGCAAAGGCUGACAGAUAGAACGGAAGGGAGAACGAUUGUUUAAUCAUCGUGAUGAGAGUGAAGAGAAAGAAAAUGUUUUACAGGAAUCUGUAAGGCGUUUUCCAAAAUGAAAGCAUUAGAUUUACCCAUGUUUUGAAGAAUGUUUUCUUCUAGGAAUUCGUUUUCCACCACACAAAUGAGUCAUUUAAUUUUUUUGAAAAAUUUCUAAUAUUUUUACACAUAAUAAACAUUUAUUUAUUUUUUUCAUUUUUUAUUCCAAUAACAAAUUUUUUCGAUAAUUUCGCAUUCAAUCAAUUUAAUCGAAGAUGUAUAAAUUAAUUUUCUUAUAGAAAAUUUAAAAGUAUUUAGAUAAUUUCUCUAUUCCAAGAGAAUUAAUUUAUAGCAUAUUUAAAUUUUCUUAUUGCAAUAAUACAAAAAAAAAAUAAAUACCAAAAUGAAUCACCAUACAAAUUGAAAGCAAAAAACCAAUUUCGAUAUUUAUAUAUGUAAUAAAUACAUAAAAACAAAAGAAAAUGUUAUGUUAAAAAAAAACAGAAACAUACCUACUCUCUUUCUUCAAAACACCUUCUCUACAAAACAAACUAAAAAAAAUUCACACCCCUUUCUCUUAUUUGCAUUUAAAGUAAAAAAACAAAAACAACUAUUGAAAAAAAAAAUAGAAACAUACACACUCCAUCUUCAAAGCAAACUAGACUAAAUUACCAUAAAAAAAAUUCUUUAAAUUAUUGAAAUAGACCAAUUUUUAAAAAAUUUACGGGAAUGGGCGGAUCUUGGUAAGCAUUUUUAAGCGAAAUUCAGAAAAAUGCUUCCAACUAAAAAUGUUUUUGCCACAUCAGCAUUAAAAGUGACAGCACCAAUUUUUUUUAAAAUUUUUUAUGCCACCUAUUAAUAUGAAAAUAAAACAUGCAAAACAAGCCUUUAUAUACAUCCAAAGUCUCAUUUCCCUUAUUUUCUUAAGUAAUGUGAGAUAUAAAAUAUGCGUAUAUAUAGACUCAUGAAUAAAUUUAUAGCUUGUUCCUAGAUAAUGUGAGAUUACUUCCUUAAAUUGUGAUAUAUAAACAACGUGUAUAUAUAGACUCAUGAAUAUGUCUAAUUAUAAAAAUUAAAUUUAAGUUAAUUGUUCAAUAUAAAUUGUGAAUUUUUUUGAAAACAUAGAUUAUGAAAUUUAAGUUGUCAAUAUGUGAAUUGAAUUUUUCUUAAAAUAUAUUGUGAUUGUAUUUAUAUGACUAAUAAUAUGUCUAAUUGUUCAAUAUAAAUUGUUAUUAUAUUUAUAUUAUUAAUAAUAAACUCGAUGUCAUUUUUUAAUUGUUCAAUUAAAAAUGAUUUUAACAAUGUUAAACAAUUAGACUUGUAUUUUUAAAUUCAAAAAUUAGAGAAACUAAAUUAUUUGAAAUAAAAAAAUAAAAGGCCUAAAGUCCAAACUUAUCGAGAAUAGAGACUUCAAUAUAUUUUAACAAAUAAUAAUAUGUAUGGACGAAAACAAAAAUCAAAAUCCGUCUUUACACAAAGAUAGUAGGGGUCAUACUCUUCCAAAUUCUUUAGGAUUUGGAACUAUGAUACUCAAAAUUUGGUGAAAAAAUAUUUAAAUUAAAUGAUUUGGGUUUUUAUCUAAAUAAUAUAAUUAUUUAUGCAUAGUAGUGGAAGACCCUUAUUCAUGAGUCUAUAUAUACACAUUGUCUACAUAUAUCACAAUUUAAGGAAGUAAUCUCACAUUAUCUAGGAACAAGCUGCAAACCUAUUCAUGAGUCUAUAAACACAUAUCUCAUAUCUCACAUUAAAACAAGAAAAAUAAGACAUUGAGUCUAUAUAAAGACUUAUUUUGUAAGUUUUAUUUCCACAUUAAUAGUGAUACCAAAAAUAAAUAAAAUUUUAUAUUGCCACUUUUAAUACUGAUGUGGCAAAAAAGCUUCUUUUAUCAAAAUCGGUCCAUUCCCGUAAAUUUUAAAAAAAUCAACCUAUUUUCGUAUUUUUUUUAAAAUGGUUUUUUUUGGUAAUUUAGUCAAACAAACCAUAAAAAAAACACUCAAACCCUUUCACUUAUUUGCCUCUAAAGUAAAAAACAAUAAAAAUAUUUAAAAAAAAAACAGAAACAUACAUGCUCUUUUUCUUCAAAACACCUUAGUUACAAACCAAUCUAUCAAAAAAAAAACUCACACCCUUUCUCUUAUUUGCAUCUAAAGUAAAAAACAUAACAAAUAUUAAAAAAAAAAAGCCAGAAACAUACCUGUUUUCUCUCAAACACUCUUUCUACAAAAUCAUAAACUCAAUAAAAUUAAAUCAACACAACCACCAUUUGUAAAGUAAAUAAAUCAAAUAUAUAUAUAUAUAUAUGUUCAUAGACGAACCUGUAAAACAAUACAAUACCUGCUUCCUUUUAUUAUCCACCAAAAGCCCAAUUUUUUUCAAACCCCAAACCCCAUCCAUGUACAUUUUCAUAUAUAUGCACAAAUGAAACAAAGAAGCAGCUGAUUGCCAAACCCCAAACCCCCAUGACCGUUUGGUCUUGUCAAACCGGUGCCGCCUGCUGCUAGUCCUCCACCAGUGGAGGUGCCGCCUAUCGGCAGUCCUCCACCCCCUGACACAUGCAGUCCCCAUUAAUUAUUUAUUAUUAUUAUUUUAAAAAAACAAUUGAUUAUUUUUCACAAUAGUAUAUGGCCUUUUCUUUAACGGGUUUUACCGAAACCCGGAUACGGGUGCCACCUCUCUCGCACCCUCCACCCUUAAAAUAAAAUUUUGUUUUCAAAAACAUAUCAUUUUGUAAGGGAAAAAAAAGUGAUGUCGCCUAUCUCACCCUUCUACCCUUCAACACUGUAACAAACAUACCAUUUUGAUAAAUAAUGGUACUGCACUAUCCGACUUCAGGGUUUCAGAUGCCACUGCACUAUCUUCAUUACACGAAAGCGGAUUACGAGAAAAUGGAGUGGAAAGUGAACAUGCUUCUCAGAGAAUAUGGACUAAGUUUGGAGGGCAACCUUAGCCUUGAUGAUAAGAGAGCAUAUGCAAUGGGCACAUUCUUGUGGCCUCAUCAGUAUUAAUCCAUCUUCUAAUCAUCAUCGUGCCUUAAUCAAGUUGCUAGCUAAUAUCA
rnacentral:lncRNA from 1 species